rnacentral:lncRNA from 1 species
AUGGAGCGUUGUCUGUACUCACCCACUAGCUAUACGUUGUUGCUUAUUCCUUAUUCAAGAUGCGAGGGAAUUUGUUGUUUGUUGGAAACUGUGUAGAAUCGUCAUGAGUAGAGAACUCAACUCUGAACGGGAGUUACAGGAUAUGUGCUCAACCAAUGUUUGCAUCAAGGAAGACGAUUUGAUUUAUAUUUUCAGUCGCAUACAAGGAUAAUUUGUUGCAAUUUUAAUUCAAAACUGCGGGGCGUGCUAGAAAGAGAUGGACCAAACAACGACCUUGGAUAUUUGCCAGAACUACAGCCCCAUCUCUUUUUCUUUUUUGGAAAGAGCCCUAUCUUGGUGGUUGUCCUUGCCUAAUUUGUACGUUUACCCACUCUCACCCUUUUGCUUUUAAUUUGGUAUGUUGUUUGUGCAUUCACCCCGGCUUGUAUGAAGUCGAAGCCCAAAGUCCAUGCUUUCUUUGAUCCGGUUGAGUUUGUUGCAUCAACCGAUUGAUAUAUUUACUCAAACGGAAUGAACAACAGGAACCAUACAAUCUGCAUAAAAUUACACAUGUUUGUUCAUCUGAAGAAUAGAAAAAACUACACAUCUGCAAUGUUGCGGACCAAAAGUUUGUGCCGCAGCAAAGCUUGCUAUUCCUUCGUAGUCCAAAUUGAGGUAUCUCAACUCUGCGGCUCGUAAGAUUUCUUUCUCGUAUAGCAGCAAAAUGCCAUCCACAUCUCUCGCCUACUCUGCUUAUUAUCAUGUAACAGCAGCAUGCAGAUGACACAUGCAGAAAAAAUACAUUCAAAUUUAAACAUGUCAUUUUUUUCUGAAAAAAUAUCACGAGUGUUCAAAAGACACAUGUCUGCAACUUGUAAAAAAUUCAAACCGAAAUUUGAGAUACACAUGGAGAAACAAAAAAGAAAUAUCCAGAUGUGAAUACUACCAUCUUCACUUUUGUCUUCUUUUGAUACUCUUCAUGACGGAUUUGUCCUUUUUAUUUCAGUGUGUAUUUGAGUUUGGAUCUGAUUUUUUUUAGGAGUUGUAAACACUUGUAUUGUGAACAUCCAUGAAUUUUUUUGAAACAUUUAUAUUUGAAUUUUUUUAAGCUGGGAGCAUGGGAGGAUUUAAUGAACUAUAAAAUAUUUGAUCUUGUCAUUCAAAAAAAAAAAAUCUUUGAUCUUGUCCAAUAAAAAAGUGAGUUUAUAAUAAUCCUGAUACAUGUUGUUCUAAAAAAAAUCAAUUCAGAAUAUGUGAUUUCUAGAAGAAAAAAGAACAUCAGAAUAACUGCAGUGCGUUUACAAUAAUCCUGAUGGUGAACCACACAAUUUCUAUCCAUGUUUAAUUAGAAAAGGCACAAACCAUAAACUGACCCUCGUUCUCUCUCAAAAUAAAAAACAGGCCAAAUCAUUGCACAAUUACCGUUGGGAGCCAUGAAGAAAAUAACAGACAUUUUACUAAAACAUUCAGAUCAAUUUUUCUUUAGAACAUGGAGUACUACUCAGAUCAAUUUAGGUAGGUGCAGAACGCAGAGGACAUGCAAAAUCAAGAGUUUCUCCAAUGCUGCUCUGUUGUGUUCGUGUCUUUGUUGCAGAUAAGGGCAAGGAAAAACCACAGGUCAAGCCAAUGCAAUGGUAAUACAUUCUUGUGAUCCACACACUACCCAGGAGCAAAAAUUAUAAGAGAACGGGUAUAUGCGACCAUGAAUCAAGUGCCAAAUUAUCCAUCUGUAUUCCUCAACUUUCGAGGGUUGUAAAUUCGUACUCCCUAAACUAAAACCACAACAGGUUCUCAAAAAAAAAAAAAACUAAAACCACAACAAGCAUUUCGGAACGGAUGGAGUAGUAAACAACACCACCACACAUUUCAAAACUAGUGGCAACAUUUGCAGAAGCCCCAUCACAAUGCCGCUUGCUGGAGACAAAUCUAUGGACCUACACGCCGGGGUCUGAAAAAGCAGAAGCACCCGGGGUUCGUCCCUUCCGGGAUCAUGCCCCCACCCUUGGUCGUGUCAAGAUCCUCCAGUAGAUGCACCACCUCCUUCAUCUCGGGCCGCUUAUCAGGGUCAGCAUCCCAGCAUCUCUUCAUGAUGUUCGCCAACCGGGUCAGGCAGCAGCGUGGGAUCUUGGGUCGCAGAUUCUAUGCACACGACAUAAAAAGCAAACCUAUAAGCAAAAAAUAUUGUUGCGUAGGCUUGUUUUAACACAUAUUUGCAUGCAUAAUUCUUCUGGGUGUAAUAUUUAGCGAGGGAUCUGACGGAAAACAUACAUUGUGAACAACAGCAAACGAGACCUCUACCGAGCUCAUGUCUGGAUAGUACGGCAUGUCACAGCAGUAGAUCCCCCACAAGCAUAUCCCAAAGCUGUAAACAUCGGACUUCCUGUCGUAUGGCUUGCCCUCAAUAACCUGCACAGAAAAACAACAACAACAGAUUGCUUUUGUUGUGAAGAAACACAAGAAUUGAGCACAGAAAUCGUUGAAAGCGAUUGGUUGGCAGCAAGAUACCUCUGGGGCCAUGUAACCGAGUGCGCCUGUCAUGUCCUCCGGAUUCUUAGCCUGCACACAGGCGAAGCCAAAGUCGGCAAUCUUAACGACCGCCUCCUCUGUGCCAAGAAGCAUGCUCUCAGGUUUGACAUUCCGAUGCACGAUAUUUUUCGAGUGAAGAUAGCUCAGUCUGCAAAAGAAAAUAUAUGAGAGUGCUGGUUAUCCUCGGAUUCGGAUUGGAAGAUAUGUGGGAGCAAAUCUAGCCAGCUUGCUUACCCAUUGGCCAAAUCCAACGCAAACUCAACCACAAUUUUGUAUCCGAUCUUUCUCGCCCUGUGAGCAUAUAGAUAUCGUCUCAGUGAUCCUAAAUAGAGAUAUUCAAAGACAACACAACAGGCUCUCUCUGGCAGAUCUCUGGGUGCACUGCUCUCGCCGCUAUCGGCCGGAAUGCUACGGUCAGUGGUAUCCAUUGAUGCACCGAUGAACUGCAAGGAAGAGAAUACGACACAUUCAAUGUACCACACAAAGAAAAACUCAGUAGACAGCGUUGUAGUGCCUAUUAUCGGUCUUGAGGUAACAUUGUUAUAACGCACCGAAAAUGAACUGACGCUACCCCAAAAAAUAAUGAACAUUAAACAUUGGUAAUACAGUAUGCGGGUGCGCAACGAGCAAAAAAAUAUUCACCCUUGCAACACUUCGGUGUUUGAGCUCCUUCCAGACAGCAACCUCCUUCCUGAAUGCUUCGCUCUGAGUAGAAAUUUCAGCCUCUGUCAUAAAGCCAUCUUCUCCCCACUCCAAUACUUUAGCUUCAUACACGAUGAAGAAAAAAUAAAUGCAUUAUAACACUAUAAUCUUUGGGAGCUAGCUCGGGGCAUUGUAGUGCGCAUUUUGGCAGUUCGGUAAAAUUAUAUUUCAACAGAACUCAAAAGUAUACAACUGAACUUGAGGAUGUUCAUCAGAGAUAUUUUGUCCAUUUGAUAAAAUGCUAUUUAGGGCAUGUAUUUAUGGACCUGUGCACAAGAUUGCAAUGACGGCAUGCCGCGAAUAUCUACAAGAGUUAAACAUAAAUGGCCUAACACGACACUUGGAUCAGCUUAAGGUUCGCUGACUAUUAAGAAACAAAAGCUUAAAAAUAAAAUUCCAAUUUUAAUCUUAUGAAUGCACAUUACUUGCUCAGGACAUCUAAAGACACAUGUGGAGCUUUAGCAGGAACAAACCAAAGAAGAUCAACGUGUCCAAGGUCCGCAAUGAUGAUUUAUCAAUGACGACGAAUUGAGAGGGUCUGAAUUAUAAAUUGUUCAUGCAGAAGAAAUAUGCACAUGCAGCAGAUGAUAACAAUACAGCCAUACUAUGUGCAUGAUGAUAAUAAAGCAUAUAACACAGAAGAUGAUCCAGCCGAUUCGCACUAUUCAAUUCCAAGAUUAAAGCUCCACAUCUACUCAAACAGGUGAGCCUUAUGAUUCUAUCACUCAUAACAUCAAUGGACCACCCAAGGCAGGGAAAUUAGCAUGGUCCACUGACGAAGAAAACAAAAGCAGAAACAUAAAUUUCCAGCUUUAGGAAAUUUUAAUCUUUUUUACUGGAGGCCUGACGCGUACGGACUAGACAUGUCUACUCGCAAGAAUUUAGAUGAACGUGUCCAAAGCCCAGCAACGAUGAUCCAUAUAUAGAUUCGAAGUGCCAAACCAGCACCAAAUUAAAGAGCAUCGCAUCGAGAAAUAAACAAGAUCGCAGAGAUACAGUGCUACCUAGGACCUGUCUGCCAUUGUAGGUGGCGCUGCAGAAGCUGCCGAAGGAUCCGGGCGAUUCCCGGUGGUGGAUGUCGAGCUUGGCGAGGUCGAUCUCCCGGGACGCCAUGGGCGGGUCGCCGCCGCCCUUGCGCAGCCGCUUCACCAUGGCAAGGGUCCACGCCGCUCCGGGAGGGCAGCGCUCUCAGAUUGUGUUGGCACGGCUAGCCGGGAUCCUACUUCCCUGCAAAUCUCUGUUUAAACAGAUGCUGCAGAUAUCUCUGGCGGGCAUGCAUAUCUCGUCUCAUAUAUAGUCCUAUAUGCCAGCCAAAAAAGUCUCUCAUAACAGCCAAGCUAGAUCGUCCAUGUACAUGUUUAUGGAUAAUCCCCGCAAAAAGGACAUUUAUUUGUAUAUCAGCAAAGCCGAGGAAGCAACACAAGCUGAGACCGUCAAGCGAGCAGCGAGGACGCGCCAUCGCGCCCGCGUCCCUCAGCCGGAAACAGUCGCAUGGGUACGUAAAUAAUGAACCAAAUAAGGCAGCAGGAAGGACCAAACAUAUACUACCACGUUAAUUAACAAAAACAAAAAAAAACCCGUACUGUCAGGCUCCACAUCUUCUAUCUAACCUAAAAAUACACGACCAUACUGUGUUGUGUGGCCGAGAGAAAGGCUACAGAACCAGGGGCUGAUAACAAACCUCUUAAGCAGUUGUACCAAAAAUAACAGAUUCAAACGUAGCGUCGGCUACUUUCUCAACAAUCUUCGCUACAUGGGGCAUAAUUCACACUCCCAGCAACCUACAGGCACGACACGAUCUGGAAGGAGCGAGCCCUCCAUAGUUUUUGAGCCAACAUCUGCCACCAAUUCCCUUUCUCGUGCCGAGAACAUGGGUGCGACUCAAAACCAAGUAUCACCGACUACAGUACUACUGCUGUUCCUUGUUCUUGAGCUCAGUCUCGAUGGCCCGUAGUUUCUGAUUGUUCUCCUCGUUGAGGAGCGACAGCCUCUCUAGCGAAGAUUUCAUCAGCGACAUCUGGGACUCCGAAACGUGGCCUCUUCCGGCCUUCGGCGCCUGCCAUGGCGCCAUUCCUGUGCCGGUUGCACCACCCCCCAAAGACGGUUGGGUGAACCGUUUCAUCCUCGUGCUCAGGGCAGCAAUGGAAGUACGCAGAGCGUCCAGCUCCACGUCCGCAAACCUAUCUGCAAGUUUUAGCAGACACAAAGUAUGUUAGGGCAUGAUGAGGAUGUAAAGCGAGAAUAUGCAAAGUCAGGUUUCUAGAUUACGGACCAAGCUGUGACUUGAACUCCAGCUCUGCCUGUGACAAUGGUUUCUUGUUUGCGGCAGGCAGCAUCUUGAAGCUUUCUAUGCGCUUCUCCAACAGAUCAUACACCUUGGAGGCCCGUUCGACCCGCCUGUUUAUCUCCUCAUCUUUGGCUUCUAUGGAUAGAAGUGAUUGCUUCACUGCUUGUAGGCGUUUCUGCUUGUCUUCAAUCUCUGUCUUCACAUAAUCUUCGUGUUCCUUGAGCUCAAUGAAAACCUGAACAUCAUUCAAAUGAACCCACAAUCGUUAGUGAUAUGCUUAUAUUGUGGGGAUUAAAAGAUGUAACAGGUUCAGUUAUCUCCAGAAGGGAAUGACUUUUACUUGUGCACCAACAAUGGCAUAUGACAUAUUCUAAGUUGAUAAGGGAUAUGCACAAAAUACCAUAAUGAUAGCUCUUACCUUGUGACCAUACUCCACAUAGUGCUCAUGGAAAACCUUAAUAUAGUGAUGAAGUGUGGACUUCCCUUCGAUGGAGUCAGGAGUCAACGACCUCAGGCUUGUUGAAGAUGGAAGUAUGGGUGGAUCUGGACCAGCAAGAAGUUCUUUGCUGAUCAUUCCAGUUGUGGAAGAUUCUACAUCCUUGAUGUCCUUGCUACAUAUGUCAAGCUGAAGAGGUGUUGGUUCCUUCCAACCCUUCAUUUCUACCACAAAGCACUCGCCAGUGUAUGUGAUGCCAACUAACUGCACAUGGCCAUACGCAUCAGCUAUGGCGACAAAUCCAGAAAGGAAGGGAGAACUUGUAUCACUGUUGCCUGUGGUGAGUACAGGAUGCACCGAGGGUGGUGUGGAAGCCAUUUCAGGGUAUGAAAACGGCAGGAAGUGCAACGUGACCAUGUCAAGUCCCCCUCCAUGCGCACAAUAAAAUCUCUCUGGGACAAGGGGAUCCAGAAACAGUGAUAAAGAGCUACCAUUAGAAGUUUUUGGUAGUGCCAAAUCCACAAUUGAGAGCCUUAGCAAAGGAGGAGAGUGUCCCAUCCAGACAGCUUCUGUAUUGCUCUUCGCAUUUGAUCCCAUACUCGAUGAACGAUGUGAUCUCAAGGCCGACGAAUCUUGUGGAUUAGAGUCACAUAUCAUAGCAACGCUCUUUAUGCGUCCAUGUGAAUCGACAUUAAGGCGAGUAGGAACCCCAAUGCUCCAUUGUGGUUGGAUUUCAUCGGCUAGAGCAUCAAUCUGGAGCUGUCCACUACCCCAGGCAGUUACAAGAACUGAAUCUUUGCCAACAGAGCUGUACACAAAACCCACAGCUUUACCUUCACAAGAGCUGCUCUUGCCUUCGAGUUCAUUGUUUUCCUCGCAAACUCUACAAAGAGGCCCCUGCAUGGGUGCUCAAUCUUAAUACACAUUGAUUCAUGAUAAAAACAUAGAAUGAAGGUCAUAGAAAAUAGCACUCAGAAUUUGGAGAACCAAAUUCUCAAUUUCUCAUGACAAGAAAUGAUGAUAUUUCUUGGUUAUCAAAGCAGUUCAGGAAUAGUUGGUAUUUUGUUGAUUUUCUGUAUAACAUGUUUCGUAAGCUUUAACAUUUAAUUUAUACUACAGAUUGGUCUUGUUUCCAAGGAACUUCAGAAUUCAAAAUGAGUGGUAGAUUUACAAACAGAAAAUUUUAUGCCUAUAGUAAGUCAGCCAAAUAUAACCACAACAGUGAUUUUCAAAGAGAAUUAAAACAGUAAAAUCAAUGUUCAACAUAGUAUUUACUAUUUUCUUCCUCCAAAAGCGUACUGGCUAUCAGAACAUUUAACCAAUUGUCCGGCCAUGACCAAAACUGUGGGUACAAUAUUUGUUGACAUAUUUCUCAAAAAAUAUAUUUGCUGACACAAUUACAGUAGUAAAACUGCGCCUGCAGAGGAAGUGUCACGUGUACACAUGAGUGUGGCAGACAUGAUUGUGCAAUUUGUGGCAAAUGUUUGGUCACGAGCCAAAUGGCUCCUACCCUUACAAAUCAACAAUCUUAUGUACUAGAAAAGCAUCGGAUUGACUAUGAGCACUUAAAUGAACAAAUUACUAGUUUAAGAGGCAUGCCUUUUUUCCUUCCUCUUCAUCAUGGUUGCGUUACAUCAUCCUAACUUUAUAUACAGCAGGAAUAGAGGCGAUGUGCUACUUGUAUCCACGGUUAAAUCUCACCUCAAAAUAUUUCUGACCAAAAGUAAUUUACUUUGUUCCUUCUAAAGGUGCUUACUUUUUUCCUUCUAAAGGUGUUUACUUGAUAUUCACAUGUUAAAACCGAAUGCAAUAAUGCAUGAGAAAAUUUCAUACGUCUAGCCAUCCCAAGAUAAUAAAAGCAUCAGCCCCGUUCGAACACCACAAGCUGAAUUCUCCAGUUAAACACAUAGAGCUACACUUGCUCGGUCAUUCUCAGGUACUCCCUCCAUUCCAAAAUAGAUGACCCAACCUUAUACUAACUUUAUACUAGACCCAUUCUCAGGUACUAAAGUUAGUAUAAGGUUGGGUCAUCUAUUUUGGAACGGAGGGAGUAUAUUUCAGAAAGUCGAUAGAAGCGUACCUGUAGACUUAGAGAAUCGUCUACUGGGGCAUAUGCACGAGCUCUUGACAUCAGCGUGCUGCUAUCUGCUGAUUGACGUAACAGCUCCGGAAAUGUUGCCUCCAACCAUGCAAUUGCCAAAUGUGAGUUCGUGACAACAUUUGGAUUUGAAGAUUUCAACCCAAAUGUAUUAACAUCUUCAUAUAUCUCUUCGAUAUGUUUCUUACUAUAGUCACUGCAUCAUAGAAAAUAAUUGCCAAAUCAAUGUAGAUAAAGUACAACCUACAGCAUGAAAUUAAGUAGUUCUCACAAUGUUAGGCAACAUAUCGAAAUAAAAUGUUAGGCAACAUAAAAAUGAUAAGCGCUGAAAGAAGGGAGCAGAUAGAAGUGCAAUAUUACCAUCCAAAUGGAACAACGGGGCAGAGCACAAAAAUUGAACCAUCACUGAACAAGAUGAAAACCUGCAUAAACAGGCUUACAUGUGAAACAAAGCACAGGAAUUGACUACUCAACAUACAAAACAUUAAUCCUAAUCAAGGUAACUUUGAAGAGACUACACAUGUAUGUCCAAACAACAUAUCAAAUGACAACUUGAAAGAAAAAUUGAAAUGCAUGAGGCAUCAAGUAACUUCCUGUAAUUCUGUUAUGAACAGCACGGUGUAGACUUCACACAAAAAAAAAUAGUAUUGAUACAGUCAUACAAAAACAGUAAAUAAGCAUGGCAUUCCCAAAUUCAUUGGACAAAGAAGCUGUAUAGAUACUGUAGUAAUAUCCAUUGAUACCAUAAAUAUUUGUACCAUGUAAUAAGCUUAAAGCCUUAAACUAGCAAAACGAUAAAUUCCCAUAUGCAAAAUUCACCGCCAAAUUGCUCUAGAGCUGUUUGAAGUUACUCUAAGUGUGAUACUAUCUUGCUUGCUAUAUUAAAAUAAUAAUCCUGAUAAAUUUGUAAACUAUUCUGGGCAAGUUUAUUUUUGAGAGGGCUUCUAUUAUCUACUAUCUAGGCAACUGCAACCAAGAGACAUACCGAAAAUCUAUCCCACAGAUGAUCACUGCCAUAAGAGAAUGCCACUGGACAAAUUGACGAAGCAUUCUGACAUCUUCCAGGUAGAAUUGGCUGCAAAUAAAAUUCCUGCUCUGGUUGCUCUAAAUCAAAUGAGAGAUCAAAUAACCUGCAUAGAUGGUUAUUGAUUAUUUUAUCUUACAGAAAAUUUAAUAUAGUGGUUCCAUUAUGUUGAUCUAAGAAUAUUGUACCAGUUUUUUAAGAAGAGAUGAAGAAUGGGCGUAGAAAUAAAUAAAUAUACAUGAUGACACACAGAAAAAAAGGGUACUUGAUAUGGGAAUGGACAGAGGAAAAUACAUUUCCCAUUUACAUAAACUCCAACAAAUUGCAUGCUAAAUAAGCUUAAAUUAGCCCCUCCAUGUAGCACCAAAAUCCAUUUUAGCAUACCUGAAAACAGCAUCUGAUGUCAAAACACCAAAAUGGCUGCUGCUAAAAGGGUGCCAAGAUGUCUGCAGAACUUUUAUGCCAUUGUUAUUGGUAGGUAAAAUCUGAGAAGCAACUGGUGCGGUCCUGUAAUCAAAUGCAGGGGAAGGUAACAUUAUAGUAUAAUAAAGUUAUGCACAAUGGGUCAAUGGCAUCAAAAGAAGAAGAAAAGAUAGCUAUACAUCCCAUUAAUCUAAACUGCAGAGUGAAUGAAAACUCUGUAGACGCCUUCUUUAAUACCCCAAUGAGAAGAGUAGAAGAUUGCUCUUGAUGUGCAUGACUAAUGAGAAGAGUAGAAGAUUGCUCUUGAUGUGCAUGACUAAUGACAUGCAAGAGAUAUAAAAGAAUAUUCUUCCACUGGUUUCAAUUUUUUAUUGCAAAAAAAAUAUUCAUAACUAGAAUAUCUCAAAAUAUUCUGGAAAUAAAGGAGCAAGAGUGCAUUAUCAACAUGAGAUAUGGUUGUGGUGAAGAUAUAUACCUGCAUAUGAUUGUAUCACCAUCUUCUGAUACCCUCUCAUGUACAUACAAAACAUUUAUGUUAUGUGAUCCAGCUAGGAGUAAUGAUGACCCAUCCGUAUUUAGUGAUAUAUGAGUGACCUCGUAACCAAGAUCCGUCUCCGGCAUCAACAUCUGGACAACACAGGAGCGACAUCGAUUAUGUCAAUGCAAGAUAGUACAGAACAAUCAUCAUGGCAAAGAAAGAAUACCUACUGUGGAAACUUAUAAAAGAUUACACCACAAGCAAUGAGUACAAACAUAAAAGUUUUCUCAAUUUAACUAUGACAGCAUUUCAUGACAAAAAGUGAGAUCAAAUGAAGCAAAUAAUGCCGCAAACAAAACCAGUUAGGUAGAAAUGUAAAAUAGGCCUUAUUUUUGGCAUAGGAAUACACACAUUCCAAAAGGCUAUCAUAUCUCUAUGUCAGGAAUGGAAAUUUCCCAAUGUAUUAAAUAGUGGGCUAUGCCAUUUAGCGGCGGCUCGGCCAGAAGCUAUUAAAAGCCAUAGCGAAGCUAAGCCCCAUUUAGCGUUUUUCUUAAAUUGUGAUUUUUUUGAAAAAAAUUGGGUAUCAGGCUUCAUAUGUGAUAUAUCGCAUAUACUUGACAUAAACACAUGUUCGCACAACAAAACCGGAGCUCCAAUCGGUACCUUAAUUCAAUAACCAAGCUUCACACUAUGCACCACAUAUAUCACUAUAUCAGAAACAAGAACAAUAGAAUAAUGCAGCGGAAUGGUUUCAUAUAGCGCCUUAGCAGGCUAAAUGACUCCAAAUUUAGCGCUAGCGGGAAAUAACGGGCUAUUGGCGUCAUUUCCAAUUUAGUAUUAAAAUUGCAUAGCUUUAGCGGGAGAGCUCUCAAAGGCUAUAGCGGGGCUAUAGCCGGAUAUUUAAAACUUUGAAAUUUCCCCAAUAUGAGGAAGGAAUCAGUAACUUUCUUUUGAAGUCUUAGUCCACAUCCAAAUAAAAAGUGUACAACUAUGCCUCAGCCUCCCCCAUGUAUGUUCUCGUCUAACCUCCAAAACGUGAAAAUGCACAACUUAGGUGGUGCGUUUUCAUGCCUAGAAACAUGGUAGCUGAUAUAGUAUACCAUGUGAUGCCUAAAACUUAUUUUACAUAGUUAUAUUACUAUAUGCUAGUUUAGCCUACAAAACCGUCUUAUAUUUUGAGACGGAGGUACUACUACAUAAGAAAUGAGCUCGGAAAACCUUUAAUAUUGUGGAACCGUUUAAAACUCAAAUCUCCGUACAAAUAUAGGGGAAGGUAGACCCAUCUUCUAUCCCACCCUGUGCCCAUCGCACAUCAUAAUAUCGACUUCCCAUUUGUAAAAAUUAGAUAAUAUGCCGCACUAUAUUUCCUACAUCACAGUACAAACCUCUUGGAAAUAUUGUGCUUAGGGUAGCAAAGAGUACUACCUAAAUUAACAUACGAUCCGACACUAAGAAAUCCAAAUGCUCCACACUAUGUCCAGUUGCACAACAUCACACAGAGAAGCUUCUCCCCAUUUUUGUUCACACGCAGAAGUACUAGUGAAUUGCAAAUUGCCCCAGUCACCAAUGUAGAUUCUCAAACGUAUGGCUCUGACCUAGUGACUAGGGAACGGGGAGAACCGAUGCCUAUCCCUACCAUUUCACAGUGCCUUUAUACUACGAAAAAGCAACCACGGGGAGAAAUCACUUCACCUCGGAAGGCACGGCGGCCUCCACGGCGACCUCCUCCCCGUCCCUCUCCGCCUCGGCGUCGCGGAUCCGCACGGACACCCGGUGGGCGCCGCGCGCCGAAGGGUCCCAGACGUAGAGCCUCGACCCGGCGGCAUCCCACGCAGCACCGCCGCCGCCCAGGGCGCCGCGGAGCGCGAAGGCGGGGUGGGAGGAGACGGGGACCCACUGCGCCGGCGAGUAGGUCCUCUUGGGCGAGGGCCGGGGCCGGGGCCUCGAGGAGGUGGUGGAGGUGGAGGCGGAGGAGGGGGUGAGCGCGAGGGACGGGGACGGGGAGGGGCGGCGGCGGCGGGAGGGCGGGGUCGCCGGGGCCGGGGAGCGGCGGGCGGGAGGCGGGGAGUCCGGGGGCGAGGGCGACAGCUCCGGCGCGGUGAUGCGGGUCAUCGCCGACGAGGUUGCGCUUCGCUGCUGUCGGAGAGGCCGGAGCGGUCGUGGGGUUUGAGGUUUGCGGGAGGGAGGGGAGUGGGCGUCUUGUUGGGCUUUUAGGGGGACCUUUCUGUAUAGAUUUCGAGAGCACACCGGCUCUUUUCGAAGGGAGCGGCUAUGUGGCGGCGCGCCGGUGGUGGGCCGGCCCAGUACAACGUGGCUCGUCAUGCUGACAUCAUAUCAAUUUUCACCCCUUUUUACUUUAUUUAUAUUUCAAAUUCAAUACAUAUAUUUACCUGCAAAAUACAAAACUAAUUUUAAAAAAUGGUUAACAUGUUAUAAUGUUUUUGUUAGAGCAGUUAGAAAAUGUUGGGAACUUUUAAAAGAAUGAUCGUGGCAAUGGAAAAUGUUCCCGCUUUUCAAAACCAUAUUUGAUUUUUAAUAAAUACUUAUAAAAUGUAAAAAACUUUGUGAGAUAUAAAAAAUGUUUCAUACCAUUAAAAAAUGCAUGAGAUUUUAUGGAUUUCAAAGUCAAAAACAUGUUCGUGGCAUUACAGGAAAUAUUAUAUAAAAUUAAAAAAAUGUUAAAAUAUACGUGAUAUUUUAAAGAAAUAUUCACGUAUUUCCAGAAAAAUGACCGUGACGUUUAAAAAAUGACUAUUCAAUGUAAAUAAAUAUCCGUACAACAUGUAUCGUGUUUCAUGUGUUCUUUAAAAAUGUACACUGGAAAAGAAGUAGAUAUGUGUUGAAAAAAGAAAGCCGACAAAAAAUGGCAAAGAGCAAAAAUGAAAGCAAAAAAUAAAAUAAAACCAAAGGUCAACAAAGGGAAAAAAGGCCAAAGUAAAAUGAAGAAAAAAACAAAGAGAAACUGAUGAGAAAAAUAAAAGAAAACAUAAAAAACCUGAAUAAAACCGAAGCAGAGUGAACCUACAUCGUGUAGCGAGCAAACUACGCUAAUGGGCCGACCCGCUAGUCGUCGCCCGUUGGAGAUUCCUAUUAGGAGUCGGUAUGGUAACACAUGGCCAUGGCGUUUUUUGAAAGCACAACCGUUUUUAUGGACUUUGAACGUGACCAACAACGUCUUCUUCCUUUUUUUUUCCGGUUUUGGUAAUCCUACUAGUCUGAAUAUACUUUUUUAGCCUAACAAAGGUUAUCUGAUUUUUGUUUGCGUCCGUUGAUUUUCAAGAUCGAAGAUGACGAUGAGGCCUUGUACAGAAGAAAUCGAAAACGGCGACACCACGAUAGCGGCGACGUAGAUGGACGAGAGUCUGAAGGUUGACUGGUUUGUAUAAGGGGUGAAAAUCUGCUGCACGAGGAGGUCCGAGGUGAUGCCUGUGUGCUAGCGACGCCGAUCGUGGGUGGCAGACACAAGCGCUUAGGCCAACAACACAGAUGAUGGGGCUGCGGUUGAAGGAAGAAGAUGACUAUAUCAUGUGUGAAAUGGUUGGAAGUUAAAGGCAUUGUGUGAGGUGUUGAAUUUUGAUUGAACAGUUAAGAUAGAAAGAGGGAAAUCAACCGUUUUGCUUAGACGGUCCCUUCCUUCCGUUUGUAAAAAGCGACAAGGUCCUGCAUCCGACUUUGAAGAUGCUCGGAGGAUUCCUUCGGUCGGUGUUCCUUACCGGACUAGAUCCAGCUUUCGUGGGCUGGCGGCUAUCAUGACUCGUUAAAUGCCUUCUGGUUAUGGGUUUCUUUAGUGUCAAAAUGUGGACCGUGCUCCUUUUCUUCGGCGACGAGGAAGAUCCUUACAACCGCUUGUUUCUCUUUUAUUUUCUGUUGCUUGUAUGUGAAUACAAGUAAUGCAUGCCUACGGAUGUACAUCUUGAAAAAGAAAAAAAAAGUGAUAUUCGUUCCUAGUGGAUUGAUGGGUGGGGCCCACCUUUCAGUGCAAGGACGCUCCGUCGCGUCGCGACAGAUGACAAAGGAAUGGGCUGCUGCACCUGCAGGCACCGCCACCGCCAUCGGCCAUCCGCCGGCUUCAGCUUCAACGCGUCGAUCGGAGGCGCAUCGACCACCACACCGUCGCCUGCGCUAGCCCCAUGCCCCGAGCAAUGCGUAUGCUGCUCGUUUAGCUCGUGCGCCAUGGACUGCAGCCGCGAACCUACCUACAAUGCCCGUCUGUGCUAUCGACAGCUUCGUCAGCGCACUGAUUUCUCCCUGUCGAUCGACUGGCCCCGGCCGGCCGGGCCUCCGCCGCGCUCACGUUGGCCUGCCGCGACACUCCAUCUCCGGGCGGUUUGCCUGCCUGCUCGUUUCUGGGCACUUGCAUGCGUGCAUGCCCGCCCCGCCCGGCCGUGAGAUCGACCGAUCCCUAUCCAUGGUGGCCAGUCUUCCAUGGCAGGCAGCAGAUCUUCCAAAGACAGCAAGACGUGGAACGUGAGCGACAUUGAUGUACAGUACUACAUACAGAUACAGGUCUCUGUCCAUCACAUGGACGGCAUGGCCGCCGUGUCUGAAUCCAUGCGUGUUGAUUCCGAUUCCUGGCUAACAUAUGCUGAGCCCGACGAUCAUCAAUCUGUUCCCUCUAUUUUCGUCACCGAGGCCCCGGCUGCUCGGCACCCUAACGGCAGCGGGUCGACAGCAAGCCGGCGUGGUCCUUCCAUUCUGAAUCCUGAAACCAUGGACGCAGGCGGUCAUGAUGCAUCAAUCAUCCACUUAGGCAGCAUCCAUCAAGAUUGCCGCGCAAAAUGUGAGCUAGGAUCCUGCCACAUGCACGGUAUCCGUCAGGAAGCGCAUAUGCUGUCUCAUCAUCUUGCCAAUUAAACCUAAAGAGACCAUAUAUGUACAAGCAUUCGGCGUCCACCAUGGCAUGAUCCAUCAGCAAGCACUGACAGCGAGAUCGAUCGGUCGAUCGAUCGCGCAAAACGUGAGCCAGUAGGAUCUUGUCACGUUCACGGUAUCGGUGUUGGUCUGCUGUGCUAGGUGAUCUAUGCGUGCACUUAAAUUCAACCAUGAUCUGAUUCUGAUCUAUACAUACAUUGCAGACCAUCACUAUCAGCGUGCUUCUCUGCUAUUGUCAGAAACGUGGGGCAUUGCGAAAACAUAAACUUUAAAAGCCACUAUUUCGUUGUACAGGCACAUGGAACAUCAGCGCACAAUCUCUCUGGGUGGUGGAUUGGAUCACCACAUGCUCAUAUCUUCCUUUGGUAAAACCACAUGCUCCAACAUCUCUCUGGAAGUCUCUUCUGCCUGAAUGCGCACACCUCCUACUCCUAGUCAAGCUAGAACCAAAACAUGGGCAAUCACAAUCUUCCCAUAUCUCACCACAUGCUACUGGAUCCGACUGAAUGGCUCCCCCACUGGCACAACCUUCUCGAUCUCAUGCUUCUACGCUCUUGACAGUUGCAAACAACCCCACAUGUCCAGCAUUUCCUGUGGUAACUGCAUCCACACCCAUGCUUGGAAACAUAACAAUGGGUGCAAGUUAUGUGCCGCCUUAAAAUCAAGGUGCAUCCUCACAUGCUCCGAACGCAUGGCAAGACCAUUUUGUUCAUGCCUCGAUGUCCAUGAAUCUCGACAUCUUAUCGCUUCCGCGAUAUUACUAUCGACAUUCUAUGAGCGAGCCAGGAUGGUGUACACUCGGUUUACCCGGUGCAGGUUCAGAGUUCAGACUAGCUAGUUUAAGUGUUUAACGUAGUCACCUUUGAAGAAACGCAAAAGCAUUCCCUGCUUACAAGGGAACAGAAGACGUUUGCACAAGCAGAUAAGCUCCUCUGUACUUGAUUAUGCCAUUGUAUUGGACUUUGAGUCGCCUUAUGAGACUUUCGUGUGAUAACAUCGUGCCCAGAUUAGCUUAAGGGUGAAGUAAAUUCAGCUACAAGGCAGUACGAUAAAACAACUAGAGAGCCCGUACUGUCAAUCAUACAUUUUGAUAACCGAAGAUCAACAUGAAGAUAGAGUGCAGAUUGAGCAAUGUAUAUACUGUGAGGCUGUUUAACUUCGGUUCUGGCAAGAAUUUAGCAAUUCACCGUAUAUACUGAUACAGUUAUGCUAGUGAACAGACACCCCUGGGCCCUGGUCAAAUGAAGACUUUGUAUCAUCAUCAGGUCAAGUCUGAUUGCUCUUCAUGAUAUUUAACUUGUCACAAGGAAUGUCAUGUGGGGCACGUCUUACAGACGUGGGCCGCGCGGCCAGGAGCAGCCGACGGCCGCAUCAGGCAAGGCGCAGGCUGGACAGGAGUCCUGAUCCGGGCACAUUAGUUCCUAGACUAGUUUGUUUCGUAUAGGUUUCUAGUUUGUUAUUAGCCCAUGGGGCCUUUAUAUAUCAGAUAGUUAGCACCCUUUAGGGACAAGCAAUAAAGUUAUUUCCUUCUAUCUUCUCCUCCCGCAUCAUAGAGCAGCCAGGCAAAAACCCUAGCGCUCCUAUCCACCGCGACUACGAACUACGUAGUCGAGGUCCUGCUGUCUUGGGCACCGAGGCCCUUGACAACUUGGUAUCAGGUUCCAGGCGAUCCUCCUCCUCGUCCACGCUCCAUCCGCCGGCCGCUUUCCCCCCUGUGUCCGCGCCCAGCUCCCCGACAUCGCCACAAUCCGCUGCCGCCUCGGUCACUUCCGGCAUGGCAGAACCGACCACCGCGGAUCUGGCUAAGAUGAUCGAGGCCUUGACGGCCACGGUGACGUCCCUGCAGUCGUCCGUCACCGCACUCCAGAAGGACAAGUCCUCCUCCUCGUCCAGCGCUGACGCCGCCCAUGAUGGGCAGCACCACAAUGAUCGGCCGCCCAGGUUCCAGAAGAUGGACUUCCCCAAGUUCGACGGCAAGUCUGAUCCGCUCGCCUUCAUCAACAGAUGCGAGUCCUUCUUCCAUCAACAACGGAUCGCCGAGGAGGAGAAGGUGUGGAUGGCGUCCUACAAUCUCGAGGGUCCUGCCCAACUAUGGUAUAUGCAGGUCCAGCGCGACGAGGGCACACCUCCGUGGCGCCGCUUCUCCGAGCUGCUCAAUCUCCGCUUCGGGCCACCGCUGCGCGCUAACCCGCUGGGCGAACUAAUGGCGUGCAAACGCACGACGUCCGUCGUCGACUUCCAGGAGCGGUUUGAGGCACUCCUUCCCCGGGCAGGCACCUUAUCCGAGACACAGAAAGUGCAGAUCUUCACCGCGGGACUCCAGCCACCCCUCAGCCUCGACGUGGAGAUCCAUAACCCACAGUCCCUCGCCGUCGCCAUGAGCCUCGCCCGCAAAUUGGAGCUGCGCGACCAGUGCGCGCUUUCCGCCGCGCCACCGGUGCGUUUUCCACAGAAGGGCAUCCUGCCGACACCAGGACCACGCCUCGCGCCCCCCGCUCCGGCCCCACCAGCCGCACCUCAGCAGGGCCACAAUCUGCCGGACGGACGCCCAAUCAAGCGUCUCUCCCAGACAGAGAUGGAGGAACGCCGUCGCCUGGGCCUUUGCUUCAACUGUAACGAGAAGUUUGGCAGGGGCCACAACCGCGUGUGCCAGCGCAUCUUUCUCCUCGACUUAGCGCCGGACGACGACGACGACGACGCGGCCUCCGCCACUGAGGAUGCAUCGCGGGCCGACCCUCAAAUCUCGCUCCACGCGAUCGCCGGCGUGCGCACGAGUGAAACCAUGCAGAUGCAGAUUACUCUCGGAGGUGUCUCCCUCCUCGCCCUGAUCGAUUCAGGCUCCACCCACAACUUCAUCGCCGAAGAGGCGGCCGCUCGUGCUACGUUACCGCCCCCCACCACAGAGAAGAUGCGCGUCACGGUGGCCAACGGCGAGCGCGUUCCGUGCCAGGGCGCGUACCGCGUCGUGCCCUUCCGCAUCGGCCACGAGGAGUUCGCGGAGGAUUUCCUCGCCUUGCCGCUCGCGAGCUACGACAUCGUCCUGGGACGCAGUGGCUGGCGUCGCUCGGACCGAUCCUGUGGGAUUUCCGAGCCCUCUCCAUGACAUUCUGGCGGCGGGGCCAUCGGGUGUGCUGGCACGGCAUUGCAGGACCGGACGGGCCAGCCCUAAAAUCAUGCAGCGGCCGCGACUUCCUGGACGCCAUCAUCACCGAGUUCGACGGCAUCUUCGCCGACCCCUCCGGCGUGCCACCGCCCCGCAGCCGCGAUCACGGCAUCACCCUGCUACCUGGUUCCGCCCCGGUGGCCGUCCGUCCGUAUCGAUACCCGGCCGCGCACAAGGACGAGCUGGAGCGUCAGUGCGCCGCCAUGCUCGCCCAAGGUAUCAUCCGUGCGAGUUGUUCCGCAUUCUCGUCCCCGGUACUGCUGGUCCGCAAGGCCGACGGGUCCUGGCGCUUCUGCAUCGAUUAUCGCGCCCUGAGCGCCAUUACUGUCAAGAAUGCGUUCCCGAUUCCGGUGGUGGACGAACUCCUCGACGAGCUACGGCACGCUCGUUUCUUCACCAAGCUCGAUUUACGUUCCGGCUACCACCAGGUGCGGAUGCGUGCGGAGGACAUCCCGAAGACAGCUUUCCGUACUCAUGACGGCCUCUACGAGUUUCUGGUGAUGCCGUUCGGACUCUGCAACGCGCCGGCCACGUUCCAGGCCCUCAUGAAUGAUCUGCUGCGGCCAUACCUGCGCCGUUUUGUUCUCGUCUUCUUUGACGACAUCCUCAUUUUCAGCGAGACAUGGGCUGACCAUCUCCGACAUGUGCGCACCGUCUUCACGGUCCUGCACCAGCACCGGCUCUUCGUCAAGCGCUCCAAAUGCGCGUUCGCCGUUGAAUCAAUCGCAUACCUGGGUCACACCAUCUCCGCUGCAGGCGUGGCCAUGGAUCCGGAAAAGGUGCAGGCAGUGGCGGACUGGCCGCAACCACGCUCGGCGCGCGCGGUUCGGGGCUUUCUCGGCCUUGCGGGGUACUACCGCAAGUUUGUCAAGGACUUUGGCGUGGUUGCCGCGCCCCUGACGGCCCUCCUUCGCAAGGAUGGUUUCUCUUGGUCGCCGGAGGCGGCAGCAGCUUUUAACACCCUCAAGACGGCAAUCACCACGGCUCCCGUCCUCGCGUUACCGGAUUUUACACGGCCGUUCAUCGUCGAGUGUGACGCAUCGACGUACGGUUUCGGGGCCGUCCUUCUUCAGGACCACCACUCGGUGGCUUUCUUUAGCCGGCCAGCCGCGCCACGUCACCGUUCCCUGGCAGCGUAUGAACGGGAACUCAUCGGCCUGGUGCUCGCGAUUCGCCACUGGAGGCCGUACCUAUGGGGGCACCAGUUUGUGGUAAAAACGGAUCAUUACAGCCUCAAAUUUCUGCUUGACCAGCGUUUGGCCACCAUCCCUCAGCAUCAUUGGGUUGGCAAACUCCUGGGAUUCGACUUUACGGUGGAGUACAAGGCAGGUAGUACCAACACGGUGGCGGAUGCACUUUCCCGCCGCGACACGGAGGAGACGACGAUCAUGGCGGUCUCGGGGCCUCGUUUCGACUUCAUCAAUCGCCUCCGGCAAGCGACGUCCACUGAUCCGGCGCUCGUCACACUGCGGGAGGAUAUCACGGCAGGUGCGCGGCAACAGCCUUGGGCGCUCUCCGACGGCCUCGUUACUUUCAACGGCCGCCUCUACAUUCCGCCGUCAUCCCCGCUACUCCAGGAGAUUCUCAGUGCCGUGCACGAUGAUGGGCAUGAAGGCGUCCUGCGCACAUUGCAUCGUCUCCGCCGCGAUUUCCACGCACCUAACCUUCGCAAGACGGUGCAGGAGUACGUCCGCAAUUGCGGUACUUGCCAGCGGUACAAGUCCGAGCACUUGCACCCCGCUGGGCUGCUACUGCCGCUGCCGGUGCCCACGGGCGUGUGGACUGACAUCGGCAUCGACUUCGUGGAAGCGCUUCCUCGAGUAGGCGGGAAGUCUGUCAUCCUCACCGUGGUGGAUCGCUUCAGCAAGUAUUGCCAUUUUGUGGCGUUAGCCCACCCAUACACGGCAGAGUCAGUGGCACAGGUGUUCUUCGCUGAGGUUGUUCGUCUCCAUGGCGUGCCGCAGUCCAUGGUCUCUGACCGCGACCCCGUCUUCACCUCCGCGUUUUGGCGAGAGCUCAUGCGCCUCACGGGGACAAAGCUGCACAUGACGUCAGCAUUUCACCCACAGUCGGAUGGUCAAACGGAGGCUGCUAACAAGAUCAUUGUGAUGUAUUUACGGUGUCUUACCGGGGAUCGUCCCAAGCAGUGGCUCCGGUGGCUUCCCUGGGCUGAGUACAUAUACAACACCGCCUACCAGACAGCAACCCAAGAGACUCCGUUCAAGCUUGUGUAUGGCCGUGACCCUCCCACUAUUCGCUCUUACGAGCCCGGCGACACACGGGUAGCUGCAGUGGCCAGGAGCAUGGCUGAGCGCGACGAACUUAUCGAGGACGUCCGCUAUCGUCUACAACAGGCACAGGCGGUCUAUAAGUCCUACUACGACAGACGUCAUCGGGACAUUCGGCAUGAGGUGGGCGAUUGGGUUUGGCUUCGCCUUCGACAGCGCGCCGCGUCCUCUCUCAACUUGCCAACCAGGGGCAAGCUCAAGCCACGAUUCUAUGGGCCGUACCGCAUUUCAGAAGUGAUCAACGACGUGGCAUACCGUCUUGAGCUUCCGGCACGCUCGCGCCUCCAUGACGUGUUCCACGUGGGCCUCCUCAAGAAGUUCUUCGGCAUUCCUCCAACUACACCGCCGGGAUUGCCUUCGAUCCACAACGGGGCGGCUGUUCCAGAACCAGAGCGCGUGACUCGUGCGCGCCUAGCACGCGGCGUUCGCCAGCUACUCGUCCACUGGAAGGGUGAAGCAGCUUCGUCAGCUACAUGGGAGGAUCUUGACAGUUUCGUCGAGCGCUACCCCGCUUUUCAGCUCGAGGACGAGCUGCUCGUCGAGGGGGGGAGAGAUGUCAUGUGGGGCACGUCUUACAGACGUGGGCCGCGCGGCCAGGAGCAGCCGACGGCCGCAUCAGGCAAGGCGCAGGCUGGACAGGAGUCCUGAUCCGGGCACAUUAGUUCCUAGACUAGUUUGUUUCGUAUAGGUUUCUAGUUUGUUAUUAGCCCAUGGGGCCUUUAUAUAUCAGAUAGUUAGCACCCUUUAGGGACAAGCAAUAAAGUUAUUUCCUUCUAUCUUCUCCUCCCGCAUCAUAGAGCAGCCAGGCAAAAACCCUAGCGCUCCUAUCCACCGCGACUACGAACUACGUAGUCGAGGUCCUGCUGUCUUGGGCACCGAGGCCCUUGACAAGGAAUGGCAUUAUAUUUGUAUAAUUGCAUCCACCAGUUGCAGUUCACACAUAUUAUAUUUUGAGCUAAAAGAAAUUGUUUGUUUCUCAACUAAUUUGCCCCCUGGAACUGGAACCUCCCAUCAUUUAGGUGCAUUAUCAUCCCAUAAACAAGAAGAGUCCUCGUUUCGUUGACAAAAUAAAUAUUUUUCUGCUGAGAAAAAACUCCUGCCACUUCCCUUGCAUUACCAACAAUGAUGAGCUGCUGAUCAUCAGCAUAAACCAAACACGCGGUCUGACCUCAAAAUUUGAAUGAUUCGUCAUUCAAGCAUAUAGACUAAUGGGGCAGAGAUGAUGCAGCAUUGAUCAAAACGUCCUUUGCGUUCCACAGACGGUCCCUCAGUUGAGUCAGCUCCAUUUCAUCAGACGCCAAAUAAUUAAAACCCUAUGAAAUACUACUGUAAUUGUUUCCUUCUCGCCCAGUUGCUGCAACUCUGGAGAAAAACUCACACGACUUGCCUGGAAAGGACAGCGAUGUUUUGCACGUCCUUCCCUUGUUUUCCAUGGACCAGGCUUGUUUUUCGCAGCUCAGACUUUUCACAUUUUUGACUGGACCACUAAGGAAUGCCGAUUUCUAGAUGUUCUAUCCAGGUUUUUGGCUGCGAUCUGAUCUCGACGUGCACCAACAAAACCCCGUCUCUAGCUUGAAAAGGGAAUUGUUUUAUCUACUUAAUGAAUACGCAUGCCGGGUUUUCGCAAAAGCUUUUUUGUUGUGCGCAUCAAUCGAGCGGAGAAAAAAGAACGAAAGAUGAAUUAUGCUCCACAAAAUUCAGAAACUGGCUUCAAAUGCACUUGAUUCAAAAGUGGACGGCCACGUGAGGCGCACAUGCGGCGACUCGGUAGCGGCAACCGCCAGCAGUUUCUGAUGCAAACAAUGUUAGCGCUAAUUAACUAGACUGAAAAAUGGGGGUGCAAAUGGAUCUGUGUGUGGAAUUUGUGGAUCCGAUGCAAGUACUGGUACUAUUUAGUACUAAAAUUAGGCGGCAUCUGAAGGUGGUACGUCCGUCCUUGCAGGUACCGCAAGGCCAAUGGGCAAUGGCCGGCGACCCCAUCAUCAAUGGCGAUUAUGACCCUGUUUGGAUCAUAUGGGGUUAGAGCUAGUUUGGGUUAGUUUAGGGCUUAAAUAACCUAAAAAUAUCCAAACAUGGAGGGUUAGAGUGGGUUAGUUUCAUCUAACCCAACUAUCCCGGUGAAGAGGUGCUUAUUUGAGUUAGAGUGGGUUAAAAAAUAACUCUAACUCUAACUGUGUUAGAGUAUCCAAACAGGGCCUAUAUAGAUUAUAAACUAUUCGGCCCGGCCUCCGCGGACGGACGCUCCAUUACUGGCUCUUUGACACCUCGCGACGUGCAAGCCACAUGCCGCUCGCCUCACACAUGGCUGCCCGUAGAGGCUGGCUCGUACGUCACCAUAGGCAUAGCCUAUGAACCCUAACAGUAACUGCUUCAGACGGUUAACUGUCGAAGCUAGUUCACACUCCAAAAAGCUGCUUGCUACCGUAUUAUUGCUAGUGAUCGGCUAGACAAUUGGACAUUGCAUGUUAGUGAAAAUUCAGUUUGUCAAACAGUUCUGCAGUACAUAUUUUUCCUAACAUGAAAAUUGACUGGGAGUCUGGGACGAAGCCAUUGCUUCUAGAGGUCAAGUAAGCCGUCCAUCACGACGAUCGGGAUACAUGCGUCAGGAAGUGAGGCCAUGUUCUUGGCAAGUAAACAAACAGCGCAUCUGUAGACUUUCAGGGAGGCCGAUCGAGGGGGUCUGCAUAUCUCUAUUCCAAAGCGUCUCGGGCUGAACAGUCUCGUGCUCCUAACCGAAGAUUAGAUUUCAGCCUGCAGUAGUGUAGCUGCUACUACGAAACUAGUAUGAGGUGGACCUGAUCUAACGGAACGGGACGCAUCGGGAUGCGAGGAGAAGCAAGCAACAUCUUCUUCCCAUCGAGAUGCUCGCUGUUGGACCAGAGAAACCUUUGGAGACGAGAGGAUCCGUCCAUUCAAGGUCGGCGGGCGACGAGAUGCGUGCAAGUGCUGCAGCAGCGCCCACUUUUCUCGCUCGGAGACUCGUGCAAGCUUGAGGGAAUCUCAUCAUCACUACCCGGCUUGCAAAAGAGAGGCCGCUUUUCCUUUUGGUUCGGGCUCCCGAGAAAGGUCGAUGAAUGAAAGCGUGGCACACAACAACUAACGGAAAAGCAGAGGGAUAUGGGACUACAGAUCUCCCGUGGAUAAGCAUGAUUAGUUUUUUCCAAGGGAAAGUAAGAUCGGUUUUUUUACGUAAGAUAAGAAAGUACUUGGAUUUGUUAGAUCCUCGUCCGUUCAAAAAGCAAGAUCCUCCGUUCGGUUGUGCGAUGCAGCUCGUUUUUACAACGACGUACCCUCGAAUGCCCCGUGGAAAUCACAACAGAAACACACACAAGAACUAAAAGGGGCAAACUGAACUGAACCACAAACAGUCACCUUGCAUAUCUGAAGGUAUUGUGCUGUGCCGGCCAGCCUGAACAUGAGGGGCAAACGCAAGGAAAUUAAGGAAGCACAUGAAUGCAGACCAGCCGACUGAUGAGGGGCACGACCCUGACGACAGACAGCAGCCGGGUCCUGCAUUGCGUUGCGCCGGUGCAGCCGUGCAGGUACGGUGCGGCGCGAUCGACGGGAACAGUGGCCUUCAUGAAUCUGGGUGCCGUGUUUGUCCCUACUGGUACUGUAUGUCACCUAGCUUCGUCGUACAGUUGGUCGCCAGUUUUGCUUUGCACCGUACAAGUGUUAGCCGAUGCUCAGAUAACGGCUCCAGAGUGCACGCUUUGCCUCAUGUGACGAGCAGUGGACAGGCAGUAAAAGGCGCCAAAAACGUCACUGUGGACUUUUUUUUUCACAAAAAAUAGUUGUGUGCAUGUGGCGACUGUUUUUCUUCUUCUUUCCAGCAUUGGAUCGAAUUGCAGUACGUUACUCCGAUUGAUCCAAAGGUGGCAUUCAUUUCACCAGAGGGUACAGCAGGUACGUGGUAGUACUACAACACAUGCGCGCCAAUAGUCAAGUGAAGAUUAUUUUACAACAACGGCCGGCUGCCAUAGAAGAUGUACGCACGCGAAAUAUGUAAAGGCAACCCAUAACUGCAGCGUAUCGAACGGAACAUUCAAAAUCUUUCCGGUGACAUCGCAACAGACCCCUGAUAAAAUGGGCAACAACAAAUCAAUCAAUCAAGAGAGAAAAAAGAUCAUCGCCCUUCAUUUUUCACAUCAAUCUUUCCAUAUGAUUCCAUCAAUGGCGCAGUCCGCAUGCAUGCAUUACACCAUUCACCCGGCUAAUCCAGAUCAUCAUCGGAGAAAGAAUGCGGGCAGUGGUAAUGAUAAUUCCUAGUAAGAAAAAAACCGUGGGGGGAGAUACCGUACGUCGAAUCAUCCCUCACCAUCACGACGCUGGAAAAACACGACCGACGAAGAAGAAGAAGAAAAAUGGAGAACAGAACUUUUUUUUUUCGUGGGAGAGGAUGGUAGUCAGGUACUUCUAACGGUGGCCGGCGAGCGACGACGGGGCUCCGGCGGCCGGCCGGGCCGGGCUUAUCUGCAGAGGGAGUUGUUGGGGGUGCCGACGUCGGCGGCGGCGAUGGCGAACUCGGCGCUGCAGUAGCAGAAGGCGGCGUUGUCCUUGUUCUUGCCGCCGGCGCGGCCCUUGUCGACGGCGCGGAGGAUGGCCUCGAAGGCGGGCACGUCGCAGGGGAUGCGGAGCAGGCCCUCCUGCUGGAACCCGAACUCCUCCUCGGCCUCCCGGAGCAGCGCCGCGAACGCCUGGUGCUUGAGGUACUCGGUCGGGAUCACGAACCGCCGCAUCGCCGGGCCCACCGACACCGCCAGGUGCCCCUUGGGCGGCGGCCCCGACGACGCCGCCGACGACGGCGGGCUCUCCGUGAAGGACAGCGUCCGCUUCAGGAACUUCUUGGCCUUGCUCUCGCCGUUGCCUCCGGCGGUGACCGUGGCGACGGCGGGCGUGCUGGCCGCCGCCGCGUCGGACUUGGAGGCGACGGAGAGCUUGCGCCACUUCUUGAGCAUCUGCUGCAGCCGCACGAUCUCCGUGAUCUUGUUCGACUUCUUGCCCCCGAGCUGCUCCAUCUCCGGCGCUCCGACGGAAGAUCUCCGGGCGGUGGUCUCCUUUCCUCCUUCUUCUACGGGAUUUCGGGCUCUGGUUUGGGUGUGGCGUUGAUGUUGCUGUUGCUGUUGCGCUGCUUGGGGCCGUUCGUCGAGGGGGCAUUUAAAGGGGGGAGGGGGCCGGUGGGGCCCACCGGCGGUGUAGGGUUUCCGUGAGGGGUAGCGGCAGUUUCUACUGUUUCUAUUUUAUUAUGAUUAUUAUGAUGAUGAUUGUGGAUUUUUUUUAUUUCUCUGAAUAAUGGAGUUGUUAAUUAUGUUGAGAUGAGGUUUUGUGAAUGCCAGUUCGAAGCGUCUGAAUGGACCUGCGUUUGUUAUUGGCACCUUGGUUGGGGAAAUGUGUGCUGGCCAGCAACUGACCGGCGAAAAUUUAACCGAGAUUAUUUUUGCUCUUCACGCAGUGUCAUGUGUUGCGCUUUGACUUGGAUUUGUGGACGGUUAGGGUAGCCUUUUUAUCCAAGGGUAGAUCGGAAAUGAAGUGUAUAGUCGUAACCCUCUUGGAUUUUACCCUAUUGUUUUUUUAUCAAAGGUAGAUCGAGAUGAUGUUUUUUCCUUCGUCCUCGAAGGAUAGUAGCCCCUUGUUAUUAACCGAAAGUUUGUUAGGGUCGUACGGUGAAAGUGGAUAAAAAUGUUUUUUUUGUAACUAUAGUUUGGGAAAAGGGAUCUAAAUCUACUAUAAAGGUUCACUGAAUGUACAAAGCAGCACCACAAACAUGAUAAGAAUUACAUUGAGAUUCAUGGGCCAUCGGAUGACCACGGCCGCUAGUAGAUUGAGCUGCUCACGCGUCAUUAUUGCCACUCCCUUACAAGAGCCGGCUUGACCAUGUCAUUGAUAGUCGGAAAGUCUUCAUACACAUGCCAAUAAGGAUCGAGGUCCCAAAGUUGCAAUUGUUGCCAUUAAACCCUUCAAUGGAUCAUACCAAAUCUAGUCGUCUCGCACGUACAUAAAAGAGAAAAGUAUACUUUUCAUCCCUCAAUUCUUGGAAGUCAAGAUUUGGUCCCUUAACUUUAAAACCGGACAACUUGCGUCCUUAACUACUGAAACCGGCCAAGAUUCAUCCCUGGUCACGGUUUGACCGUUUUUUGUGAUGUCCCAACCCGAUUUUGACCGUGCCGACUCAAAUUCGCGUACCUUUUCCAAGUCCGCUUAAUGUUUUCAAAUUCCGGUACUUUUUUCAAAUACGUGAACUUUUUAAGAAUUUGUGUACUUUUUCCAAAUCUGCGUACUUUUUCCAUGUUCACGUACUUUUUUAAAUCCACGUACUUCUUUAAAGUUCAUGUGGUUUUUUUCAAAUUCAUGUAAUUUUUAAAAAUUGACAUACUUAUUCAUAUUCAUGUAUAUUUUUUUGGAUUUGAAAAUUUUAUGCGAACUUAAAAACAUACGCGGAUUUGAAUAUCCUUUACGCGAAUAAGAAAACAAAUGUGUGGACUUGAAAAAUUAUGUCAACUUGGAACAAGUAUGUGAAUUUCAAACAAAGUUCAUGGAUUGGAAAAGGAACACGGAUUUGAAAAAAAUACACGAACUUUAAAAAGUAUGCGGAUUUGAAACAAGUACGUGAAUUUCAAAAACAGUUCAUGGAUUUGAAAAAAAAUACUUGGAUUCAAUAAAAUUACACGAACUUGAAAAAAAUACACUGAUUUGAGAAAAGCAUGCAAAUUAAAAAAAUUCAUGGAUUUGUAAAAAGUACACAAAUUUCAAAAUAGUUCACGGAUUUGAAAAAAGGUAUGUUUAUUUUUGAAAAAAUUACACGACCUUGAAAAAACUAUGUGGAUCUGAAAAGAGUAUGUGAAUGUCAAAAAGUUCAUGGAUAUGAAAAAAUUACGUGAAUUUUAGUCAGCAACGGUCAAAACGGGGGUCAGUCGGCACCAAAACCGGUCAAAAUCGAGAGCAGGGACAAACCUUGUCCGGUUUCGUUAGUUGGGGGUGCAAGUUGUCUGGUUUUAGAGUUGAGGGACCAAAUCUAGACUUCAUCAAAAGUUAAGAGACGAAAAGUAUACUUUUCUCUACAUAAAAAAACCCUAACAUCACCUCUCCAAGGAUACAACAUGUUCUACACCGGAGAUCCAUCGACUCUGUCCUGGUGGAUCAGCUCGAAGACCAGGGGUCGAAGAAGAAUCACCACCAUCCGCCAUGGCGCCGCCCCCGCGAGGACUAAAAAACCUAACCUAAAAUAUUGGUUGCAUCGAAGCACGAGAAAUUCCCCCUCCCCUUGCUGGCCACCAGAGCGGCAUACAUAUGAGAUGGUAGUCCACGGGCUCAUCGACGAAGCCUGGAGGGAACGAAGUUUUGCCCUAGCCGCCACAAUAGAAGGGGAAGGGAUAGAUAGCCAUGGACAAUACUUUGGUCAUCGAGCUUUUUUUUGACAGAAUAAAUAAUUCCACUCCUCAAACACCGAAAAUAUAAUGUUAAAACAUAUUUUUCUGGAGCGGAUAAAAACUAUCAGUAAAAAUGUAAUAGACCUUUUUUUUUUGGAGCUGAAUAGUAAUGGACUCUUAACCACUCGUAUCCUCCCAGGCUUUGUGACGACUCUUGGCCGUGGUCUCCACCUAUCGAAUAGCCCUACAGAGAUCCUCUGUACACGCACCAGCUUCCUUCAUCCUUUCUGCCUUCUUAACAGUCGUCCGAUAGGUCGACGGCGCAUCGGUGGAGUGGAGAGCGGCCGAUGCGGCGCCGUCGAGUGGCCAGGGCAGCCAACCGUCCGUUGCAGCAUCCGCAUCCUCUGGCUCGCUCGAUUUGCCUGCUUUUCUCCGCUGUCGAUGUGAAUGAAAAUAGGUGAGGCAUCCAUGGCCAAGGCGAAUCCCUGGAUGCCCAUACAUGAGGUCGGCUCUGUUACAAUGCGUGCAGAUCACGAAGAGAGAACAAGGAAUAACGCAAGGAAAUUCGAAGGCGAAGAAAAGGAAUAACACAUGAAUGAAAAUCUACUGUUGCCUAAACUACAGGAUACUUUCUGGGAGCUCCUCCGGACACGUAUCCCAGCAGCGACUUUCUCCUUCAACAGUUGCAUCCUUCAACAAUUGUGAUAAAGGAACUCGCAAAAGGAAAAAGUGAUAUAGAGGAGCUUGCCCGAUUUAAACCGGCUCAUUUUUAGGUUGUGACUGGGUAACUUUAUUUUUGAUAGCAAUGUAUUGUGAGAGAAAAAAAGGCACCCUGGAAUAGUUGGAUAGCCAAGUGAAAAGAAAAGGUGAGGCUAGUCUAAAGUCUUUAUUGUUUUUUUAGAAUACAUAGGAGCAUGCAUAUCAUGUACUCCCUCGGUUGACAAAUAUAAGUCGUUCUAGAGAUUCUAAUAGGUGACUACAUACAAAGCAAAAUGAGUAAACCUACACUCUUUUUUUUAGGGGAGGAAGGGAUUUAUAUCAAUUAAUCUGGACCGCAGCAAUCCAGUUCACACAACUUUACAACCCUUUCAGUGCCGGACCCUAACCAUACGACCGUCUUCAUCUCACAUCUACCCAACUGAGCUAAGUGAUGGCUAACAAGAUUACAUCCUCUCCUAAUAGACUUAACUAGUAUCUCUCUUCCUCCUCUCAUAGUGGAGGCAAAUUAACUGAACCUACACUCUAAAAUAUGUCUACAUACAUUCGUAUGUUGUAGUUCAUUUAAAACGGCUAAAAAGACUUAUAUUUAGGAAUGGAGGGAGUAUAUUUAGAGCCCCCGCAAAAAAAUAUUUAGAGAAGAGAGGGUAAAGAAAUUCACCCACAAGCAUACUCUUAAUCACUCACCGCAUCAGAUAUGACAUCCGAGGGCAAGGAUUGCGCCCACAUGUUAUUGAACUAUUCAGGGGCUGCAACAAUAUGGACAAGGAUUGCGCCCACAUGUUAUUCAACUAUUCAGGGAUUGCAACAGUUUGGUGCACGUUUGGCACCGCAUGGGUUUCUCUUUGUGAUUUUUUGGAAGACUAGGGAUGUAGGCGCGACAAAAGUUCUUCACAGCGGUGAUCAAUCAACUAUCAAUAAUGUUAGCUAACAUCAUUCAUCAAUUUCUCUCUGUGGUCUCACCGCUUUAAGCCAUCGAAGCAAAAUAUGACCACAACCCAAUUGCCACUCACGCUUUUGUAAUAUUUGGUCCUCAGGGGAACCUCGCUUGUAAUAACAUUAGCUAAUAUCGAUGAUUUCACUCCAUGGUUUCUCAGGAUUAGGUCAUUAGAGCAAAAGAUAAAUGGCUCCCAAAAAGAGAGAGCGGAAGACAACAAGAAACCAGUGGCAUGAUUAUCUACCCCCAUGAAAUUCUUGAUCUUUAAUAUGUAGUAUAUUCUCUCUCUUUUUUUCGGCUGAAAUAUGUAAGUAUAUUCAGGUGAGGACCCCCCUCCCCCCUUCCACCUCCGACAUGGUGGCCAACCUUAAAAAGGCGAGUUGGUGUCAUCGUUUGCUUCUCGUGUAUCACAUCAUCACCAUGCGAAUAGACACAUUUCUAUUUAGAAAAAGAGGUUUAUAUGUGUGCUAAUCGCCAGGUGCCAUUCUGGAGUCACCUAACUUUUCUGCCUCGCGCGAGGCCAAACGUGGGGCGACGUGAGGAGCACGACGACAAGCGUUGACCCCAACGAGGCUGAGCCAGAACCUGUCGGGGACGACACUAAAAGCGACAACGAGUUGCGAAGCCCCAAGCGAAGGCGAGGAAGCGGGUCGUGGAGGUGCAGAGAUGGUCACAGACGGCGGUGGGGGAAGGUUGACGGGAGGGCGGGGCCGUCAGGCGGAGGUGCACGACAACGUCCAUCGGCCGUGGGGAGUGGAUGUGGGGCAGAUUGGGGCAUGCGGAAGGGAGAAGAAGAUAACCCGUUGGAUCCAAUGGCCCAGAAAAUCGACCCAACAUGGAAUUUUUUUGAGGCGUUUUCCUUCUCAAAACAUGUAGGUGCCCUUCAAGGUGGCCAAGUGCACCCCCACAUUAUCCUACACCUUCCAAAUUUUAGGCAUGUCUUCUCCAGUUGUACUCUUUCCGUUCUGAAUUACUCGUCGCAGAAAUGGAUGUAUCUAGAUGUAUUUUAGUUCUAGAUACAUCCAUUCCUGAGACGAGUAAUUUGGAACGGAGGGAGUAGCAUCUUGGAAGGCUCAGAUCCCACUAAAACAGCUCUAAAAUUACCACGACCCCCACCGGCAAUAUUCAGUCAAACGAGGCCGCAUCAACCGUUGCCUCGACCAAUGGGCCGUUGACCAUCCCAUCCCAUCGCCCUCGCCUGCAACAGAUCUACGGCAGCUCAGGUGUCAGAGAGGAGCCUCUGCGUUUUUGGACGGCCGGGGAAUCCAGCGCCCCAGCAUGUCCAUGGACUCGACCCCAUCAUCCUUCUCCAACUGGGCGUGGACGGAGAGAGGCGUUGUACGGACCGACCCAUUCACACCGGAACAUGCAUUCAUACGGCCGGUGAGCCUAGUGCAUACAUGUGAUCAACUCCGCCUAAUAAUGCUUCCACCGGCUAAGCAAUGAUAUUAUAUAUGCUUUCAGCUCCGCCAGCUCGUGAUUGCGCUAAUCAUUUCGGCGGUUGGCGAUGGCCAUUGACUUGCUCGAAUAGCUCUGGCAGUACUGUACGGUCCUCUCAGAUUUCGGGAUCUACCGCCGGGCAUCGUCGCCGGUCUAACCUAAUUUGAUAAUAAUUUCAGUCUCACCGACUGCGGUGGUUUGGGUUGAUGCCCGACUAAACAUACCCAUCCGGUGGUUAAAGGUGGAAAAUGUCUCUUGCCAAGGGGUUCGUUGCAUUGCAUCGUCGAUGAUUGUGGAGGGAAGUAGGUUGCCGGUGAUAAUCGUACUGCGUGUUUUGGUUCACUGCCUGCCGGGCUAAUCAUUUGGUUGGUAAGAUCGAUCGAUUGCUUGCCCAGUUGCCCUCACGACGUGCGACAGGCAACCAAACGGCCGGAACAAAAUCGACCGUCGAUCAUCUGCGCCGCAACGGCAGAAUCUCUGAUAUUUUUCUUCUACUUCGUUCGUUGCAGCAAGGUUUUGUCUCUUCGAUCAGUUGUCCUGUUGUUCAUCGCUAAUCAUUACAGCUCGAUCCAUGGAUCUAUUCGCCAAAGCUCAAAGUUAAAAUACUUACCAGAAGGCAGGGUACGUGAAAGCAUCGCAUUUCCUUAAACCCCAAGCAGCAGCUACUCCAGGAAGUAACAUGACGCACGCUCACUUCAUGACAAGUGGACUCUGUCUCUUAGUGACUUGGUCGCAGGCCUGCCGAGAUCCCAAAUGUACACAGUGUGUUCCGCAUUUGCAAACUAGUCGCAAAUUGCAGCGAGGCGGCACGUGAAAUACUUGAAGCUCCAAGUAAGAUAUGCGCACCCUCUGUACGCGCAGUUGCACCCCUAAUUAGACCGCAAUUAACAAACCAAGCAGAACACAAUUAUAAAUUUAUAAUGGCGCCAAGUACAAGUGGCUGUACUUUGAUCCGUCGAUUCGAUCUACCUCCAUCAUGUUGCUACACCAUCAUCCAGAGACUUCUUAAAUGUCUGAUUCAUUAGAGUUGCAACAUGCAGCUCACAACACAUACAGGCAUACAACACAAAUUAACGCAUAUACUUCUAAGAGUUAUCACGUAUGUGUAUACAAAAGAUGAAUUAGAUUACGCCUAGAUUAGCAUCGACGAUGCAGCUAUCUCUGUCACCCAUCCGGUCCACUGCAUGCUACUUGGACUUAAAUUAGUAUCAUAUGAUAAAACAGUGCUAAUUAUAAGGUCACAAGUGGGGCUUUGAAGGGAGUUUGUCUUCCUGAAAGCCAUUUGAAAUCCCGUUUGGCAUUACAGUGAUCUCUGCUGGCGAUGAGUAAAAUUGAUACUAUAAUGUGAUGGGAGUCCCGGUUUUGUGAUGGUAGGUUAGUACCGAACAUGGUGCAAUUUGCAAAGAACAUGGCGUAUAUGUGCUCCACUAGAUAGGACUAGGAGACACCUCGAUCGAUCUUAAAUUUUGAGAUCUACUAGUUGUUGUGGCCCUUUCAAACAAAUCCUCUCGUGAUGCGCAUGCACCAUGUAAAUUACUAGUUCCCGCAUCAACUUGGUUGAUCAUCUCUGUAAUGCAGUAGUUUUGUGACUGAACAUGAUGAAAUAAUUUGCAAGGAACAUGGUACUAUAUAUGUAACUCCACUAGACAUGUACUCUGUAAAUUACUAGUUCCUGCAUCAACUUGGUUAAUCAUCUCUGUAAAGUAGGGUUAGGACUAGCCUUAUCGACCUACUAUCUGCAAGCAACAAGUAAUUAACUCCAUCUUGUUCUGCAAGCAACAAGUAAUUAACUCCAUCUUAACAAGUUAAACCAGGUGUAAACAGCCCACUGCUUCCAGGGCCUUGGCCAAAGCUGAAGAGAUUCGCUGGUGGCGCGGGAGCCCGAAGUUUUGACCAGCAGCGCCUGCACUGCACGCCGAGGCCGGUGCGAUGCUGCGUGCAAAAACAGUAGCAUCGGGAGGCGCAAACCUGCGCCGCUUCUCAGAGCACUACUGAGUACUGACGGUCAGUACUCCCUCCAUUCCACAAUGUAGUGCUUCCUCUAUCCACGUGUUUUAACUUUGACCGUAAAUUUAACUACCAAGACCGAUUGCGGCGCGAGCAAAAAUUAUAUCAGUGAAUUCGUAUUUGAAAGAAGUUUUCAAUUAUAUAAUUUUUUCUCCCACCGCAGUUGGUCUUGUUGGUUAAAUUUAUGGUCAAAGUUGGACAUCGGGAAGCGCGGGCGUACUAUAUUUUGGAAUGGAGGGAGUAGUAAAAUUUAGUUAGGGCACACAGUCAAACCCUAGCUAGCUAGGCAUAGCCGGCCGGCCACCUCGCGCCGGUCGAGUCUUCCCCGUGCCGUACGUGGCCGGGUCAGGGUGGUUCGUUUUGUCGUCGACGACCAACGGUCAAUAGUAUAUCCAAUGAUACUUGACUUGGAAAAGUGGAGUCGUGACUUGGAAAAAUUGAGCACGCCAGAGAUGGAUGGAUGGUGCCGUGCGUCUGUCUUUGUCAAGAAUCAUGCAUGCAUGGCUUCUUGGCUCGAUUGGACCGGACUGUAUGCAUGCGAUGUCCGUUCCAGAUGAUGCAUUUUCCGAGAGGGAGGAGAGGACGCACUGUUUCCGGGAGAAGUGUCAGUCGUUGCUCUUGCUGUCUUGCACGAACGAGAGGGACAACAUCAGAAAGGGACACGCACGCGAGACAGUUGAAACUUGAAAGUCACGCCUAGCUAGCUUUUAGCUUUAGCUAGCCAGCCGGUGAAAGUUGAAUAUGCAUGUUAUCGACGACGACCCACGUAGCUAGCUAGGGUUCAGGUCUUGUUGCUUGUUGGAGAACUGUUGCUUGCCUGGAUGAGUGGUCGUCGUCGUGGAAGGUAGCUAGCUACGGCGCGCCGGAACUUACAUACGUAGGUGCGUCCUGCUGAAUGUUCAGCACAUCAAUCUUGUACCGUAGCUAGAGAUCGGUUCCUACUCACCUUUAGGAAUUGGGUAGACCGGUUGAGGUCAAGCCGGCCGUCAAGGAGAGAAAGCUAGCUCCCCGCAAAGAAAAAAAAAGGAGAUAUAGCUAGCUAGCUAGCGACACAAAGUACGUAUUGGAGUACUUUUCUGGACGAAGAAUGAGGCUGCGACAGGGCCCUAGGCUGCGACGGUGUCACUUGGAUCCAAGAGGAACGCUGUGCAUGCACAAGGGAGAGAGAGCGUAUUCCACUUUGACCAGCGCGCGUGUCUCUGACUGUCGCGCACGCUGCAUGCAUAGACGUCCGCGCGCGUGCUCGCUUGCUCUGCCAAAGUACCUCGGCGAAGGAAUGGAUCGCGUUCUCUUCUUCCGUGGGCUAUAACGUCUCACCUUGAGAUAAUAACCAAAACCACAGUUAAGAUACAUCGCCGUCAGUCAGUAUCGUCGGCUGGUUCUCGCUAGCAGCGGCGUGCUCUUACCGGUAUUCGGUUGCCCUUGAACGUUGGAACGGGACCUCAGCCUCACUCAACCAUGAUUAUGUAUAGUACUCCCUCCGUUUUAAAUUACUCGUCGUAGAAAUGGAUGUAUCUGGAACUAAAAUACAUUAAGAUACAUCCAUUUCUGCGAUAAGUAAUUCGAAACGGAGGGAGUACUAGUCUAGUCAAUCAAUCAUCUUUGUUGUUCCUCGUGCUCUCGCAGAAGGCCUUUCUCCCCCAGGCCGCACGCCGUGGCCCACCCCCAGCCAGCCGCCGAGAAGGGGAACCCUUUCCCCUUUCGCCGUACAAAGCCCCACACACCACCGGGGAACAUCACCUUAAAAAAACAUCUGUAACUUUAUUCAUACUAAUAACAAUUACAGGUACACCACCUAUGAGAAGAUCAGGCUAUCUCUCACCUGUACGAGAAAUAUGGCCCGACCCGUUAUCCUUUUCCCUUUUUCUUCAUUUACUCAUCGGUUUCCUUCGAUUUUCUCUUUGUCAUACCUUUUUUUUCUUUGUUUUUCACCGGUUUUCUUUGGUAUUUCUUUCUUUGUCAUAUGUUUUCUUCUUUCUUCGUUCUCUUCGUCGUUCGGGAUUUUCUUUGCCUUUCUAUUUGUUUCUUUGUCGGUUUUAAUGGGUAUUUUUCUUCCAACACAUGUCUACUUUUCAUGGGCACAUAAUAUACAUUUUUUGAGACACUAUGGACGUUUUCAAAUUUAGGAUGUACAUUAUUUGAAGAAAUACAUGUUUUGAACACUUUUUUGAAUACAUCCUGGUAACAUAUUUUCCAAAUGAACGUCACACAUUUUUUAAAAUGUCAGUAAACAGUUUUUACAACCAUGUGAACAUUUCUUUACAUUGUAUAAAUAUUUCUCAAAAUUUCACAGGAAUUUUUUGGUGACACAUUAAUAUUUCUUUAAAAUUACACAAUAUAUUUUUGAGUGGAAAUAAUAAAACAAAUUGACCCACAACAAUUUUUUUUACAUUUUUAUAUAACUAUUUUUAAAAUUUUAGGAAUAUAAUUUGAAAUACGGGAAUAUUUCCAUCAAAUGUGGCAUACAAUUUUUCACAUUACUCGAACAUUGUUUUUUGCCAUGUGUACAAUUUUUUAUAUAAAAUGCAUACACUUUUUUUUGAAAUUCCAGAACAAUUUUUCAUUGUCACGAACAUUUUUUUUGAAACUUGACAAAAUUUUCAAAACUGAACUAACAUUUUUUAUACUAUUUUAAUAUUUUACCAAAUUUGUGUUUUAAAAUUUCAUAAGUAAAUUAAAGCUUUUUUAAAUCAGAUGCAUUUAAUUUAAAACAUAAAUAAAAAAUAGGAAAAAGUAGCAUUUGGGUGACAUCAGCAUGACAUUUGAAGGAUGCAUGACGUCAUACAGGGCCAGCCCACCACAUAUGCACUGUAGGCGAGGUGCCCGUGCGCUUCAGAAUAGGCGGCACAUAGCCACUCGAAACGGCACCAACAAUUUUGUAUAUAGGUAGAGCCACCUCAUAUCCUUACCUGUCCCGUGUGAGUUUACCCAUCAUCUAUACCCAUAUCUAUCAGCGGGUACAAUUUUUUUUCAUAUAUGUCACCCGAUAGGGUAAACGGGUACCCGCGGGUAAAAAUACUCAUGUCCGCAAAACAACAAUUCAUGCAUCAUUUAGUACUAAACAACAACAUGUAAUCAUAUUAUGUAAACUAUAACACGUACUUUUAAACAACAAGACACCAUAAAGAACAACAUGUUCUAUAAACAAGGUCACUUUCUUGUAAACAACAUCACAUAGUCAUAAACAAUAGUACAUGGACAUACUUUUGAAAUUUAUAUAGUCAUGAUUAAGUGUAGAGAUAAUUUUUCUAUAUUCGUCACAUUUUAUACCGGUACAUGAACAUGAGUAUGCAUGUAUGGGUUAUACGAACCCAUACCCAUACCCGCUCUACCUGAUGGGUUUUAGAUGUUUCUAUCCAUAUACCGAUGGUAACUUUUUGUCUCAUACUCUUACCGUAAUAGGGUUUUUACCGGUGGGUACAUGGGUAAUGGGUACACAUUGCCAUCUCAGGCCCACACUCCGCGCAGAUGGUCUGUGUCGUAGUGGUCUUGCCCUGGACUUACCGUUUAGUCUUGCUUGCUUCAAAAGCGAAAUCAUUUAAACCCAACACAUUAUAACUGCGUUUAGAUAGCCCACUUCACCACUAGAUUGUGCCCUUCUCCGCCUUGCCUAGCCGGGUUUUUUCCUACCAUGUCAACGCACAAAAAACAAAAAACACUAGCUCGCGGCCGAGCGGGCGUGCAUUUUUUUGGACAAAGUUGGUGUGCAGCUGGAGGGAGCGGGGGAGCGAAGUCGCGCUGCUGGGCGCGGGUGAGCGGUAGUUGGUUCUGCGGGUGAGCAGAAGGCGCCGUAUAGGAGCGCCCCAACAGGAAGGCUCGUCGUAUCGAGAGUCGUUGUGGUCUAUCGCUCACGGCGAGCGCUAAGCACGUGUCCCUCUUGCUAGAUGGGCCUGGGCGAGUGAGCGAGAGGACACCUUUUUUUUGUUUUUUCUCAUAUCUUUUUAUUUUUGGUAGGUUUAUUUAUAAUUUCAAGAAUCGCAAAUACAAACCUAAAAGUUAUGAAAUAAAAAAAAUCAUGCAUAUUCAACAAAUGUUUGUGAGUUAAAAACAAACCAAAUUCAAAAAAAAGUUCUCCAACAAAGAACAUUUGCAAAUUCAAAAUUUACCAGGGAUUUCAGAAAUCAUUGAGAAUUAAAAAAACUAAAGUAAUAAAAAAGUUUAUGAAUUUGAAAAUUAUUUGUGAAUUCAAAAAUUUCUCAUGCACUUGUAAAAAAUCUUCGUGAAUUCGGAAAAUUUUCGUCAAUUAAAAAACUGUUGGUGGCUUUGGGAUUUUUUCGAGGAACUUAUAAAUAAAUCAGGAAUUAGAAAAUUAUUCCAGGAUAUGUAUUUUUUUUUACCAUUUUAAUAAUGUUUAUGAAACAAAAAAUAUUCGCAAUUCCAACAAAGUUUGGGAAAUUGAAUAAAUGUUUGUCAAUUCAAAAAACUUUUGCGAUUUGGACAAAUGCUCAUAAAUUCAAAAUAUGUUUGUGGAUUCAAAAGAAAAAUCAUGCAUUCAAAAGAAAUAACAAAGUCAAAAUAAGUUCACAAAUUUGAAAAAUGUUAAUGAAUUUUAAAUAUUUCGCAAAUUGAAAAAUUCAGAAUGUGAAAACUAUUCGUGAAUACAAAGAUUGUUUGUAGUUUAGAACAAUGUUUACAAAUUCAAAAAAAUGGUCAAGGAUUCAAUAAAUUGUUCUCUGUCAUAUUUUGUGGACUGUGAAUAAAUUUUGAAAUUUUUGACCGAUUUCUAAAAAUCUGAACAUAUUGGGAAAACAAGAACCUUUUUUCAUGAAAUGUAAACUAUUUCUGGAACCCAAAUCAUUUUUUGGAAAGCGAACAAUUUAUGAAAAAUUGAACAACUUUUGAAGGUUUUGAACAUUCUUAGAAAAGACCUGAACAAUUUUAGAAAAUCCUGAACAUUAAAAUACAAUUUAUAACAUUAUGAACGUUUUUGAAAUUUAAGAAUUGGAAAACCAAAAAAACCGAAAAAGAGAAAAAGGAAGAAGAACAAAAGAUAAAAAAAUAUAAACAAAUACAAAAAACAGAAAAUUAGGAAUAAUUAGGAAACUUCUAUAACUGGCUAGGAACCAUCCAAAUUCCUAAUAACGGAUGCACACUCACUUCACUAGAUCUCUGAUGGGUCAGCCCAUAUUCUUAUCAUAGUGGGUGAUGGGAGCCUUAACAAUUGCUACGAGGGAUCAAUAGCGUUGUGCGUUGGGGGUCCUUUGUAAUACCCAACGCACAAACAUGGACAACUUUCUUAAUGAUUGAUAUUCAUGAACACUUUCUGCUCAGACUUGUGUUAGUUAAAGACCCCUAGCUUGCCAAUAAGCCUGGUUACUACUAUCACUUUCUUAUUUCUCUGUUUUCGUAGCAUGAGAAGUACUUUGUUCAGCCUGAGACAUUUUUUUUGAAAUUCUGAACAUUAAAAAAACGCAAAUGGUUUUAUAUUUUUUUUGCAUUUUUUGAAUUCAUGAAUAAAAUAUGAAACAGAAACAAAAUUUGAAAAUGUUUUAAAAAACACUUUUUUUAAGUUUCCAAACAUUUUUAGAAAACAAGACAUUUUUUGAAAAAAAAAUAAAAUAAACUAAAAGGUAAAAAUAAAACAACAAAUUAAAUAAAUAAAAGAGAAACAAAAACGCAAAGAAAUCAGAAAAACGAAAAAAGAAAAUAAAAAAAUCGGUUGAACCUUCUAAAAGGUUCCCAAAAUUUACUGGCUCGCUGUGGCUAAAUGGGCCGGCCUAUUUGUCGCGCUGGGUGAGUCCGCUUGUGCGCUGGACAUUUUACCGCAGAGAGCGUCAAAUAGGGUUUUCCUGUGGGUCAUGUCUGCUGUUUCGUUUCAGUGAAUCCCGCGCUUCAUUUUGAUUGAUGGCAACGACGAUGUACUUUCGAGGUCGAGCUGCACGGAGCCCUUUAUUCAUUUUUUUGGAUGAGAACUUUAUUUCCACUUCAUGAAAAAUUGUGAAAAAGUGUGCUUCUACAAAUACAUGUAUAGCUUGUAUGUAUGAAGUUACAUGAAGAUAUAUUUUCAUGUGUGGUGUUUGCAAAGAAGGUAAAUAUGUGUAUAAAAUUGUGUUUUUAUUAUUGUUUUGGGUUUAGGAUUUGACUUUUUUUGGAGUUAAAUACAUCACUGAUACAUGAACUUGUCAUAAAUGCUCACUUCAGUCCAUAAACUCAAAAAACUGAUUAUUUGAACUCACGAACUUGUCCAAUGUGUUCACUUUAGUUCAGAUUGCAAACGUGACAUGGUGAGGCGCAAGUUGAGGUCUUUUUUUGCUUGUUUCUAUCGACCUCAUGGGCCAAUCAGUAAAAGUAAGCACCUACUAGUGAAUAUAAAAUGGAGAACUAAACAAAAGAAAACUGUAGCACACUUACAAAAAAAAACGGUCCCUGUCCCACCUAGCAAUGGGUGAUUAGUUUAAACCGAAUUGACAAUACAAUGAAAUACCCCUCGGUGUUGCAAUCGUUUUCCUUUAUAAAGAAAUGCAUAUAAUAAAAUUUUAAGAAGGAAACGCACAUGUGAUUUAACCUAACCGCCAGCCGUGAUCCAAUCUCUCUUAUCCUCGCCAGGGUUAGCCAUCGGGCAACUCCCGCGGGACACCGAUGAUGGUGGGGAGGCCGCUACUCAUCGGGAGCCCGGUAGGAAGAAGUUGGUGGGCUGCUGUAGGACGGCGACGAUGAUGCAUGGUCAGGCUGCGGCUGGGCGGCGUUGGUGAUCCAGCACGGCGAUUAUUAAGCGGCAUGACCUUGCUAGGUAACUGGAAGAAGAGAAUGUCGGUGCAUCGUCCUGGACGGCGGGGAGGUCGACAUCUAAUUCGAACUUCGCGUACAACGACAUGGAUGAUUUUUUGCCCAGGCUUUCUUUAUGGAGUCAUCGAGUUUGGUUUGGGGCAGCGAGGUGGUGACAUUGUCAAUGUCUAGGAAUAAUGUUCUUCCCCCUUUUUCCUUGUUCAGUUGGUGUGUUUACCCCCAGCGGAGGGCAUGUGGAGCCAUGUCUCCGGUGGGUCUUUUGGGAUCCAGCCGGUUGAGGUUUCUGAUAGUUUCGUCUGGCAUUCAUGGUCUCCGGAGUUUUCUACAUGCCUUUAUCGACCUUUUCUUUUCUGGGGUGGCGAUUUGUUUGCAGAUCACGGCUGCCGACAUCUCCGAGUCUACAUAGACGACUUUCCCGAUCUCUGGGCACGGGAGUGUUUCUGUAUGGACCCUGGGUGGCGGACGCAUACGUGGUAGUGGCCCGGCCGCUCGUACCCCCUGAUUUGCCUUCGGUUCACGGAAUUUGAAUAACCGGACUGAUCCGUAGGCUGUAAGGUACUGUGUUGAUGACAAACUACGUCCAAACAGUUUUGUCCGACAUAUGCGUGCUUUUGAGGGUCUACCUGGGAGAUGCACCUAGCUAUGAGUUCACGAACAACAUGUACCGAUCGUAGAUUCGAAUUUUUGUCCAAAAGGACCACUUGUGGAACACAAUUGACAAAAAAGACUACAUUUGAAUCACAUUGGCAAAACAGACCAGUGAAGCUGUGGCGGCAGGUGCGCCAGCCGACACGUGGCACCUGCCGCCACCGGCUCAGGCGGCAGCACCUGCCGCACUGCCUCAGGCGGCAGCCGUCGUGCCACAGAUUUUCGUCAGUGCGACGGAACGGAGCAGCUCCUUUGGGACCUGCCGUCACCAUGCGAGGCGGCAGCUUCUGUUGCUGUUGCUCAUGUUUUGGCUAGCGUGGUGGCAGUGCUACCGUGGCUAUAGCUUGACUCCAUACCGAUGCAUGCAAAGAAUGCUGAUAGCUAGCCAGCGAACACACUCAGUCACAGACAUGCGCAUGCUUUCAUGUCAUGCAUAGAUAAUGCAUGCGCAGUCCCAUCACCCAUUUGAUAAAAUAGAGCAAACCUGGUGCUGGCAAAGGGUGCCGCCGCAGCAUGUGGCGGCAGGCCCCACGUCUUCCGUUUUCCGUUCCAAGGCAAAGCUUGUAGCUGUGCUGCUCAACAUGCCGCCUGCGACGAUGGCGGCAGGUGCUGCCGCCUGAUGCCACGUGUCGGCUGGCGCUCCCGCCGCCACGGUGAGCUAGUCUUUUUUGCCAUUUGAAUUUUAAGGUGGUCUUUUCUGUUAAUUCGAUUUGGCAGGUGGUUUUUUUAGACAAAAAUUCCGUAGAUUCCAUUUCCAUUUUGUUCGGUAGCACGCACGCUAAAAACAGCACCGUGAGUCCGUGGCCCCUCGCGCACAUGCAUGCAGCGUGUUGAGCUACAGGAACGUGUGUGGUCACGUCACUCACACAUUCCGCCGUUAUUGUCCUCCCGUCCCGUGUACCAGUACUUGUCUUGUUCGCAACCGCACCGGAUCGCAGCUCAGCACACGAACGAAACACGUAACUUAGGGCGUUUGUUUCCAAGGAUUUUUUAGAUAGGUAUUAGAAAAAGCCUCUCUUAAUUUUUUUAACUAAACAGAAAGACAACUAGAGACUAAAAAUUGCUUUUUAGGACUAAAUGAAGAAAACUCUUAGAGCAACUUCACUGGGGCGACCCAUUUCGUUCGUGGUUGUUCGUUUGGGUCCGCUUUCGUCCGCUUGCCGACCCAUUUCUUGCCCAUUUUUGAGCCUGAUUUGCGUCGGCGCGGACACAAGACGGACGCACGCGUGUUUGUCCUCUUUUCUCACCAAACCCGCUGGUCGGUAGCACAUUGGAUUCACACCCUCGCCCGCCUGCUACGUCGCCAAUGCCGCCGGCCAUUUUUCAGAUAAAAAUGGAUACAUAGAUAAUUCUAGCGUACACAGAUAAAAAGAAAAGACCACUACUCGUCGAUUUCUGAUUCUGACUCGGUAAUGUCCUCCUCCGACGUCUGAAUGUAGGCGUCAGCAUACGCCUCGUCUUCAAAAUCCCAACCCGCCGUUUCUCGUAGCUUCAGUUUCAAUUGAGCUGCCUGCUUCUGCGAACGCUUGUCCUCCCGAUAGGCGGCUCGCUCCCUCCUCCUCGCGCCCCUCUCCAAUCUCCUUUGCUUGUAGAACUGGCGCUCGUCGACGAUGUCCUGCAGAAAGCCUCCACGCCACACCACCAAGGCUUCCACGUCCUUCUCCGCGAUGGCGUGGCGACGCUGCCGCCUCUGGUGAACACGACGGUCCUCGUCGGUGAAAAGCCGCGGGAGAGGCGCCAGAUUCUGCGCCCGCUGUCUCGACACGUUGGGAAAAAUCAUAUCCCGACGAGGCCUCAGGAGGCGCCACGCCGCCGCGUCGUGCGCGCGGGCCGCCUCCUCUGCGGUGUCGAAGGUGCCGAGGAUGAGACGUUUCUCGCGAAACCAGAUCUUGGAGGAGAAGGCGCCGGGGCGGAGCUUGCGGACUCCGCGAAAAUCUGAAGCGCCCAGGCGGUGGAUCGACAUGGUGGCGCAGAGGCGGCGAGAGUGGGCGGCGGACAGAGUGUGGAGGGAGCGCCUUCUUUAUAACGAGCGCCGGCCGCGGCGCGCGCGCGAACCUUUCCCGCGCGCUGGAGCGCCAAAACCAGCGCGCUAGGCCUCUUUCCCCCGCGCGCUGGUGCGCCAAAACCAGGGCGACGACAUGAUCUAAAACGCGUGCGGUCACGCACUGCCGACCCAAAACUAAAAAAGGGCGGACUGCAGGCGGAUGGCCGACCCAAACGGACAAAAAACGGACAAAAACGCCGUCCGUUUGGGUCGGCCCGAAGAAGUCUUUUUUGGGACUUUUUAGAACUUUUCAACAAUGCUUCUCCAUGCACCCAUUGACCUGUCGCUCCAUGGUGUUGUUUGGUUGUUAUUUUUUUAUACUAGAGAUAACAUGGUCAUUUAUUAAUCUUUAGGGAGGAACUAGAGAUUUUUUAGUCUCUGAAAACAAACAGGAAAAGAUUUUUUAGGGACUAAAGACUUUUUAGUUGGGACUAAAAAAAGUAAUAGGACUUAUGAACCCUUAGUUCCGUACCGUCUUCCCGCAACGCAGAUCACUGUCGUCCGUUCAGAGAAUCGCAGCGGUUGGACGAACGUAGCUGUCACAGAUGUGUACACAAUCCAUCCGUCCGUCCGUGCGGGCGUGGACGGCGGCGAUCCCGUGAUCGACCACCAACAAAUCGCCAUCACACUAGCAGACCCACCUUGGCCUGACUGACAGCGCGACGACGGGGCCAGCCAGCCAGCCAGCCAGCCAGAGAUAAACAACUCACGCGCGCUCGAUCGAAGGCGGAAAGAAACAAACGCGCACACGCCACCUCACGCCGCCCCGCGCACACUGCGGCCGCGCCACUCGUACACGGCCACCACCACCUGCUAGGCGGCGAGCGGCGAGCGGCGAGAUCGGCGGCGGGCGGAGGAAUGGUGGCGCCCGCGGGAGGAGGGUCGCCGUCGCGGUGGCCGUCGGAGGAGGAGGUAAGGAAAGGCCCCCACCCCCACCCCCACCCACCCGCAUUGCCUGGAUGAUCGAUCGAGGGAGAGGCUGCCGCCUGUCGGCGCUCUCGAUCCCGCGGCCCCGUAAACUUGGGGAUGUUUGGGGAUUUAUCUAGGGUUCAAGCCUCGAAUCGCGGCCGCUCGUCCGCGUUUCCCCAUUUGUUUAGCCACGACUUGACGUCUGAAUUGCUUACNNNNNNNNNNNNNNNNNNNNNNNNNNNNNNNNNNNNNNNNNNNNNNNNNNNNNNNNNNNNNNNNNNNNNNNNNNNNNNNNNNNNNNNNNNNNNNNNNNNNNNNNNNNNNNNNNNNNNNNNNNNNNNNNNNNNNNNNNNNNNNNNNNNNNNNNNNNNNNNNNNNNNNNNNNNNNNNNNNNNNNNNNNNNNNNNNNNNNNNNNNNNNNNNNNNNNNNNNNNNNNNNNNNNNNNNNNNNNNNNNNNNNNNNNNNNNNNNNNNNNNNNNNNNNNNNNNNNNNNNNNNNNNNNNNNNNNNNNNNNNNNNNNNNNNNNNNNNNNNNNNNNNNNNNNNNNNAACGGAUUUAUAUGCGGUCGAUAGUAGCGGGGCACUGAUUGCUCGGAAUUAAUGUGGUACCGACGUAAUUUGCAGUGUGGUGGUUAUUUCUGAAUCAAUGCAGGGAUCUGCACUUGUUUUUCUGCUACGUGAUAAAUUGCUGACGUGGAUGGCUCAGUAGGACCACAAUCUGCUCUACUUUCUGAACGCCUGGAGAUUUUUGAGAUCGCAUCAGCUCAAGUUUUGCUAUAGCUAAUCAGACGAACGAAAUUUAGUUGUUUCAGUGACAUCCGCAUGACCUGGGAUGCAUUUUAGUUAUGUAAUUAUAUUGGUUAAAUUACAUGUUAGGGUCGGUUGCUUACUUAAGUUCUUCCUUAUUGAUGUGUAUGAGCCUCAGGUUUAUUUGUACUGUUUCUGGCUAUGCAGCUUGACAUUGUGCGGAAGAAUGUGGUCGAGAUUAGUGGAAGAGAUGCGAGAGAGGUUAGGGUGGUUGCUUGCCCCUACAGGAUUUGUCCUUUGGGGGCCCACAUUGAUCAUCAGGUAACUGCCAUUACUUGAUAACCGUUAAGUCAUGGUUGUACUUACUGUCGAUAUGCAAUAUAUCAUACUGCAGCACUGGAACUGAAAGCUAGAAUUCAGUUGUGCAUCCAGCUGUCCAGCAUGCCUUGCUAUCCACACAGCUUCGAUUGUAUACGAUGUGCUGCAAGUCAUAUUGUAGCUACAAGCCUAGAAAAUUGUUGGAUAAGAUGUGUGGACCAAGUGGUACCAGCAAUAUUGAUCGGCCUUGAUGUUUUUUAGGAUAAUAAUUAGCUAGCAGAUGGUAGCGUAUCUGGUUACUAGAUUUCCCCCCUGCAAAUGUUUGAAAGUUGCAGCAAUCUUUGUAAAGCAGAGCUAGCAAGUUAGACAUAAUGGCGAUAACUGGUUCUUGCCAAUAACUAGAAAUAUCAGUUUGGCCUUAUUUGGAAAGGUGUGAUAAGUCCAGAUAUUUCUUAUUAGGGCUGCAGCAUGAAUUAUUUCAGAGUUAUGAGUAGUAAGCUCCAGCAGCAUUGGUUUCGAUUUCAUGUUUAGUUUUACGCCAAGAAGGACAGUGUUUCAUAAUAAUAUUUAGAGGAAGGACAAAAUGAGUAUAAACUGCUGUUUUACCGAGUUAUGGUGGGAAUGACCCUGUUGUCAGCAGGUAACAUACCAAGUCAGUGCUGCCAACGAUUAACGGUACAGGGUCCAACUGACUGUAAACUAGUGCAAGCCUGCUUGGAAUAGCCAUUGUAGUAUCUUCCACUCCUGGACGAGUCAAUGGUGUUGCAUGAAUCUAGCAUUUCGCAAAUGGCUUUAUAGACAGCUAGUUCUUGUGAUUCGGGGUGCAUAAUACUCGUGAUUUUAUUCUGAUGAAAACUUGUCUAUUUUGCUGUAAGUUAGUUUUAUCUAUUUUGUUGUCUCUAGCAAUACGAGGAUCUGCUAACUGACUUGGAGUACCACUAUGACAAUCUCGUCUGCAAACUGGCAGGGCGGAAUAGUGACUGCUAUGACAAUCAAUUAUGGAGUACUUCUUGGCUUUGUGCCCUCUGAUGAUGCUGAGGUGGGUAAAUAUACUGAAGCGUUUUUUCUGUAGAUUAUCUGAUAUUCCAUUUAUUUUUUUGUGAGGACUCUGAUAUUGUAAUCGAACUAAUUGUUUUUGCCCAAAUAUCGAUUGCACCACCUUCUGAAUCCUGUUUCUUAAUCUAGUUUAUAUGUUUGCUAAAACCACCACAUGUGGAAAUCUGGUCUUCUUUCAAAUUAGUAGUUAUGCAUUCACACUCGUAUAAUCAAUUGUAUCACACUAUGGCAAUAGUGUUAUGCAUAUUUGCCAUUGGUAAACCUCCUUUCCUUUUUCAGGUUGUACUCCAGUCUGGUCAAUUUAAAGGCGUUACUCGAUUCAGGUAGGGCCAUACACAUCACAUCUCUUGAAAUACAGUUUGCACCCUAACAAAUAUCAAAUACUCUAGCCACGUGGGUCCACCGAGGAAAACUUUGAGCGCCGUCUCAUUGUUUUUUGUGAUGACUAAGUAUUAACCUGUAGUCACUUCAUUCUGUUACCUCUAGCUAGUUCGUGAUGAACACAUUACGUUGCUAGGAAAGAUCGCCCUAUUUUAUGAUAGCUGUUGUUUCUAUCCCUAAAUUCAGGUUCUGUUAAAUCUUCAAUGUGAGAGAGCUAAAGUCAGAACUUGCAUGCUCCAUCACUUUUAACAGAGUUGAUGACUUGCAAAAGCCUAUUGAGAACCGAGGAAACAUAACUUGGGAAAGCUAUGCAAGAGGUGCAGUUUAUGCCCUGCAAAAUAGUGGAUAUGAUCUCAGAAAGGUAUCUCCAUUUCAACCAUGUAACAGUCCAGAUUAUCCUAGGUUUCAGAAAACUGUUGACGAAUGGUUUCUUUACAGGGUAUAAUAGGUUAUAUUUCUGGAGUGAAUGGACUUGACAGUUCAGGGCUUAGUUCGUCUGCAGCUGUAAGCUAACUGAUAUGUUAUAUCUUAUAUGCAUUAUCAUGUGUUGAAAUCUAACAUUGAAUUAAUACAGGUCCUAGCUACAACUUUUUAUUAUGCUGUAAUUAUAGUUAAAACCUGAUGUAACUUUGCUAGCAUAUAGAUCAUGCACAACAACAUAUGUUCUUAACUUUUUCUAUGCCCCCAUCUGUACAUUAUUUUACUUGGAGUAAAUAACAGCUUUGUGCAAGAGCACAUAUUAAUAUACUUUUCUCUGUACAAUCCUCAUCAGGUUGGCAUUGCCUAUUUGCUGGCUUUAGAAAAUGUAAAUGAUCUGGUCUUAUCACCAGUUGAUAACAUUCAGUUGGACAAGUAAGUGUGUUUCCUUUCCAUCUCCAAUUCUCUAUACUCUAGGAAGGACCAAAGUAGUUUCAACCCCCCAGUAUGUUUGUUGAACUUGCUGUUGCUAAACAUGGAAUGACCUAGAACAAUGUGCAUCCUGUUUGUCAGGUCCAUUGAAAAUAAAUAUUUGGGUCUUGAAAAUGGCAUUCUAGAUCCAUCAGCCAUUUUAUUGUCUCGAUACAGCUACCUCACCUUCAUGGAUUGCAAGGUAACACUUCGCUUUUAUUUUUUCUCAAAGUUUAUUACUCCCUCCGAUCCAAAUUAAUUGACGCAGCCUCUAUACAUUAAUUCGGAUCGGAGGGAGUAUGUUUAUUUGUCCAGCCAGCAUGAUUGAUUUUUUUUUUUAACAUCCUAGGCUGUUGUUAUGAUAUUAGAAAAAGUGCUUUUUCACCCGCAAAAAAAAGUGCCUUUAAGUUCAAAUUUUUGAUCGAACUGCUGUAUUGGGGCUAUUCAAACAUGUCAACUCGCCCUAGCAUCCCUUUCCUUAUUUUGUGUCGUUCACGCCCAGAUUUUGCUGGGAAAUGUUAAUUGCAGUGUUGUCUGUUAGUAUUUUUGUAGUGACUGAGACUCGAUUUUGUAGACUGCCUCACCUUCCUACGUCUACUUCUCGGAACUAAGUAAAAGCCAGCAACCUCAAGGUCGGCUGCCAUUCAAGAUUUUGUUGGCAUUUUCAGGUUUGCAACAUAACCUACCCAAGUCGCGUGGGUAUAAUAUGCGAGUCUUCGAGUGCAAAGAGGCUGCACGUGCUCUUUUAUGGUGAGUUCCAUGAUUGGGUUUUUCAGUUUAGUCAUGCAAACAGAUGGCAUGUUCAAUUUUAAAGAACUGAAGUUCAUGAUCCCUGUGCAGUCUCUGUUAGUAGCUUCCUUUCUCAUAUAACAUAACAAAAGUUUAAUCAUCAUUCGCUAUUUGAAUUCCCAGUGCGUCAGGCUCUGAAGAUGCACCAAUACUUCGUAAAGGUAAAAUAUCUAAUUAACAUUGGUUCGUUGUGACCCAUUAGUCAAAUCUAACAAGUCUGAUAUCACCUUUCCUGUUAUUGCAGUUGAUCCAGGUGUAUAUGAGGCCCAAAAGGUACCCUGCCAAAUCCAGCUCCAUUUCCUAGAUAUCUUAUUACUGGUACCAGACCUUGAAUCUAGCGCAUUUUGACAAUAACAUUUCGUGCAGUGUAUAUUAGAUGAAAAUCUUGCCAAGAGAGCUGAGCACUAUUUCUCUGAAAUGAAGCGAGUUGUUAAGGGUAAGCUUAUCAUAUGUUUCAUGUACGCCCUUCAAUGUAUUUGAUUCUGCAACUUGAAUUCCUCCUUGACAAGUUUCCAUGCACGGGGAUAUCAAAUCCAUUUUUUUUAUCAGAGGAAUAUUAAAUACAUGGUUCUCCAUAUUUGUACUACUCAUUGCAUGUCCAAAAAAAGAACCAGCGUUUCUCGACCUUUUUGUUCAGCAUGCAUGAACUGUAUGUUAGCAGUACCUUGUAUUCUUCAUGAAAAUACUAGGGUUGCAUCUAUCUCAUUCUAUGCACGUCCAAAAGAAACAGGUGGUUUACCGGAUAUUUCUGAUUCACCAUAUGUACUAGUAUUUGACUGGACCUGCUAGACAGAAGGUUUCAGACUUUUUCGAUAAAAAGAAGGUUACAGACUUGCAGUUAACAUUUGACGGUCCACUGACUCUGUCGUAUCUCCACUGAAGUUUCAACUAAUAGUUUCCUUCUGGUUAAUCUGUGUUCAGGAAGAGAGGCAUGGGCUCGUGGAGACCUACAAGAAUUCGGACAGCUGGUCUCUGCAUCUGGCCGCAGCUCCAUAGUCAACUACGAAUGCGGUAUGUCCAUUGCAACACUUCAGGAUCCACUGUGACAUUCAGUUUCAGGUCACAAUGCUUUUACAUGUCGCUAGCAGUCCUUGACAGAAGGAACAAUACUACAGUACUAUUUGACGGAAUUCCCAAACCGCAGGGAGCAAAGAGAUGAUACAGCUGUACGAGAUCCUCCUGAAGGCGCCAGGGGUCCUCGGCGCGCGGUUCAGCGGCGCUGGCUUCAGAGGCUGCUGCCUCGCCAUCGUCGAAAGCGACCACGCGGAGGAGGCCGCGGCGUACGUUGGCGCCGAGUACGAGAGGGCCCAGCCAGAGCUGGUGAGCAAGAUCCCCGCGGAUCGUCGCGUGCUGGUCUGCGAGCCCGGGGACUCCGCGCGCGUCAUAUUGCAGUCAUGAGCUUCCUGUUGGUCGGGACUUUGUGAAGGUGAGAAGGCCGACAAGUUUUAGACAUUUAUAUAGUUCUAUAAGAUGAGACUAGCGCUGUUGUGUAUGAACUGAACUCAGUCGAGCUCCCAGAUAGCUCAUCUGUGUAUGUGUGGAACCAUUUGAUUCAUUCGUUUCCACGUAAGCAAUAAGCAGUAAUGCAAAGGCUCUCUCUCUCUCAAAGGUGUAAUGCUGCUAGUGGUAAAGGAUGAUAAGAUAGGCAGAGUCUAAUUAUAAACAAGACAAAUGGUUUAUCGCUUCCACCAAAAUGCCAAGCAUAGUCGAGUAUUUUAUACUCGAUCGUCCCUUUUAUAUAUCUUUCAGUUCUGUUUUUCCGCAGACGAGAGAGUUUUAUGGAUGAACUAAAAGUUCAUUACAAUCGUUCAAGAGCAGUUCUGACACACAGACACACAAUACUCCUACCAUCCGAACUCAAGUUGGGAGAAAGAUUAGGCAAAAGAAGUUGACCAGGUUGCCACACCUGUCCAGUGCUGAUUGAUCAGUUAGCGCAGGUGAUGAAACAAACCAAGCGAGUGGUGCAGUACGGCAUAGUGCUGAUUGAUCAGUUAGCGCAGGUGAUGAAACAAACCAAGCGAGUGGUGCAGUACGGCAUAGUCCUACGGACGGUGGCGGUCCGUACUCAUUUGGAGUUAACAAAUCACAUUAUUGCGCCUCGGAUAACACUAAAUCAUACAGAGCGAACAAUAAAUAGCGACGAAUCCGGUGCAGCAGGGGGCUGACUAGCUGAGGGGAGGUGGACACAUGUACGGACGGCGCCCGGCUGACCGUGGUGUCCCUUCAAGCCCAGAAAGGAUUCGAAGGGUAUCAUUACACACAUAUACUACUACUCCUUAACCAAUAAACCAUGCACAUUGAUGGAUGAUUAGUUCGGCAGGGGCAGCCAUGUUCUCGCGCCUCAUCUGGUUCAUGCACACAGGUGGCUGAUCACAGGCCAGCUGAAUCCAUUAAUCUGCUAGCUCGUCCUAAAUCAGAAGAAUGAAAAGUAGAUUGUGAAGUUCAAGUACGCAGGACGCCCAAUCGACCCAUUUUUUAGAGUUUGUCAGAAUCAUUUGAGCGUAUAGUUAGCCGAACGAAGAAGAAGCAUCAUGCAUAUACAUGCAACGCACUGGUUAGUUUGAUCAAUUCUUAUUCUACUUACACCCUCUGAUUCAAAAUAAGUGUCGCAGUUUUGUACUAACCCCAGUUCGAAAGCUGCGACACUUAUUUUAAAUUGGAGGUUGUAGUACUUAGUGAGGAGUCAGAGACCUCCUGCUGGUGGCUAAGAAAAGAAAAAAAAAUCCUAGGAAUCACAUGCGUAAACUCCUCAUUAAGAGUUUAGUCAUGUAGUAUGAAUUCAUAUAGUUGAUCUACACCUUCAGAGAAAAAAACCUCCACCUGUUACGAGACGAGCUCAUAGUUGGAGUCGGUUGAUUUGGAUGCCAUGAGGAGUGGGUGUACGGAACUACGGACCGCAUAUUUCGGCAAUCAUUAAGUCUGUGGCAGGUCAUACGUCGUACUACUACUAUACUAUGCAUAAUGUUCAGUUUAGUAUUCGAUUGAGUUGACUGAAAUUUGUAUACCUAGCCUAGUCAUAGGAGUGUUUGACAAAAAACAACCACAAUUAAGGUUCGCGUCCCACAGAACUACCACUUUAAAAAAAUGACUGAUAACUAUCAAAAAAUUGGAAUCUCGUGACUAAAAGCUGCCACUUUCGAAAAAUGGCCAGUUUAGAAGAUUUAAACGUGUUUAUGACAUGCGGGGCCCGUAUGUCAGGGCUGCAUGGCGGGAAAGUCAACUCCGUUUAUUUUUUACCGUUAAAUUGACCAUUAUGACAGGUGGGGCCACACGUCAGCAUCACCUCCUUCUUCCUCCUCAUCUCUCUCUCUCCAUCUCUCUCUUUGGAAUUUUAGCAAACACCUCAUGUGCACCUUUGCCGCGGUGGAAGACCUGCCGGACCUUCCUCUCUCCGCUGGCGAGCUCCUCAGCCCCGUCGCCCCUUGCCAUCUCUCCUUUCCCUUCCUCCCUACCUUCGCUUCUCACGUGCACGAGCUCCCCUGCCAUGGCGCCUCGGCCUCUGCUUCGUCCACCGCCUGCCAUGGUCGGCCCCAAGCGCCUCCUCCCUGCCUCGCCUACAGUCCUCCUGCAUCUCCUCCGCGACCCCUUCCUGAUGUCAGGGCCGAGCUGCUUGCCUCCCUUGCCAUCCGCCACCAUCGCCUCCCUCCUGUCGUUGAUGUGCUGCUGGCCCUCGCUGUCGAGUGCGUCGUCGGUGGCCUCCUCCUUGCCCCGGGCUCCAUCCAGCUCCGUCGCCUCCCAGCGUCCUCCUGCCCGCGCUGCCCCUAUGGCUUUCCCGAGGCCAUCACCGACCACCACCCCGUGACGCUCGGCCUCUGGACUACCACCACUAACGCAAGUACGUGAGUAACGGCGCCGGCGACUCGGCGGCGGCCAGGUCGCGCGCCAGGCGGCAACAGCUCGCCGGUGUGCUCCAGUCCAAAGAGCUACCGCCGGUGUGCUACUCUACUGCUGGUAAGGUGUUUGUUGAAAUGCCAAAGAGAGAGAGGAGGAAGAAGGUGAUGCUGACGUGUGGGGUCCACCUGUCUUAACGGUCAAUUUAACGGUCCGCAAUAACAGAGUUGACUUUCCCGCCACGUCAGCCCUGACAAACAGGCCUCACAUGUUAUAAACGCGUUUAAAUCGUCUUAACUGGUCAUUUUUCGAAAGUGGUAGUUUUUAGUCACGAGAUUUCAUUUUUUUGAUAGUUAUCAGUCAUUUUUUUCAAAGUGGUAGUUCUGUGGGACACGAAUCCUAAUUGUGGUAGUUUUUUGUCAAACACUCUAGUCAUAGUGUCAAGGCCACAGCUUUAACUUAAGUCACUGUGCCUUCCGAAGCCUUGGAAAAGGCCUUGGGACUUCCUAAUUAACCGGUGGCCCACCUGCUAAAUUCUUUGUUCAGGAAGCCAUGUAUGAUAGCAAAAUGAGUAAAGCAUGAAUAACUACUGACAGGAUAAUGCGCCUUUUGGGAAACUACCGUGGGAUGAGACAUGAUGAUCAUCACCUGCUCAAUCAUUCACCAUGCCUACCAAUUUCAGAUCCCAGAGGUGUCGAAAUCAUAUUGGCUUUGGCUUCCAUGGUCACCUCAAAUCUCUGGACAAGUUUGGACCUAGUACCAGAAAAGGAUGUCUCCAACUGGCUAAAUUUCAACAGGGCACUCAUGGGUACAUAUACUCCCGCCCUCAGUUCUUCAUAGUACUACUAAUUCACUCAAUCAUUACCAGUAUAUAUAUACGUAUGAGAUACGACGAUCUAUGAUAGAUGUUAAUCAGUGUAUAUAUUGUGUAUAGAACUUAACUGCCACAGCUAUAUUUUGGAGGAACAACUGACACAAUUAUUGGGCAUAGAAAAUGGCAGACAAGUCGUGCGCUUCAUCCGCCCGGUCCAGACGCGGAGUGCAUGUCGCUUUGAACCGAUGAUUAGGGUUUUAUAAUCCUCUUUGUCAUGGCUAACGCAAAGAAAGGUAAAUCUACUAUAGACUAGCUAGCAAUGGCUACUCCGACCAAUAACGUAUAUACUUGGCUAGCUGGACGCUCGUUGUGUGGCUAGAGGUGUGGUGUUCCAAUUCCAAUGGAUUAACCAUUGUGUGUAGCUUGGUUUAAUUAUGUGGCUCUGGUUAUUUUAUGAGAAUUUGGUCAAGCGAUGAUUCACUUGCGGACUCUAGCUUAAAGAUGAUUGCGCACAUUUUUUUUAUCGAAAUGGUCAUUGAAUUUGUUUCUUGUAAAUCGAGCCAACUUGAUCUUGAAUUGAAGACACUCGUAUGGUUUCUUAAAUGGAAUCGGGGUGAAAAGCCCUUUUGCUCAAAAAAAUAAAAAUUACUUAGCUUGUAUACUAAUCAGUUAACUACCCGUAUACAAACAUGCGAUGAUAGAUAGCUGUGGGCAAUUAGUAUAUACUUGUAUAUACCUUAGCAACUCCAACACACAAAAUGACCAAACGAUCCAGUGCCGUUUCAGAAAUAGUAGAAUAGAUAAGUUAGCAAAUUCUUUAUGGCAAUAAUUGCUGGGAUAGUCAAUCAUUUUCAGAUCUAGCACUGAAAAGAAGGGCCGGUCGCCUAUGCGUCAUGGGUGGACUGAUUGGAGUAGAACCACAUGGACACUCAUCCUGCAAACCUAUGGAUCAGAUUCUUCUAUGCAAUCAUGCGAUUAACAUACUACUGAUGUGUAUUGGUCGUAGGUAUAUCCAUUUCAUUAUGUUUGACCACCCAAGCUUAAUAAGACACACAAAAAAGAAAGCACUUGUCAUUGUGAAACAUCCUCAGUUGAGGCAUCACCUGCCAUUUACUCCCUCAGUCCCAAAAUUCUUGUCUUAGAUUUGUCUUGAUACAAAUGUACCUAAAACUAAAAUCUAAGACAAGAAUUUUGGAACAGAGGAGUAUAUGUCUUGCUUUGACACGGAGCUUGAGACUUUUUAUGUUUUGGUAUUGUGCAUCUUAGGAUGCAGGGGAUAAAACACUUGUGUGGUGUGGUGGUACCAUCUUGAUAAAGACGAUGUGAUUAAUUAAAGUUCCCAAUAUAAAUGCAAAAAUUGACUGUUAUGUACUCUUAAAUCUAGAGGAUUGAAAAGUACAUAAAUUAACAUAAGAAAUACUGGACACACCACAGAAACAAAUAAUUAUAAAAGGAGGUUUGAGCUGAUGGUAACAUCCCUACAAAAUAGAGUGCAAAACUAAUAAUUCUUAGGAAAGACAUCUUUAAAAUUUCUAUCUCCGAAUCAAAUGACUCGGAAGCGUCGAACAAAAACUUUCCAUCCGUGUCCACCCCCAAGCCGUGCCCAGGCCGCGCCCGCCCCAGGCCACGGCCGGCCCGGCCUCACCGCCGAGCUCGAGCAGAGCAGCAUGAGCCCCGAGCUCCACCGGCGCCGUCCUCGACUGGUGCUUCCACCGCCUGCUGGUGCAGCGCGCCACUGCCACCUCCGGCUACGACCCAUCCCUGCUCUGCGGCGUCUCCUUCAAGGUCGAGGACAGCGACGCCGACCGCCCCGCACGCGUCGUCUAGCCCGUGCCCCCCGACGAGCCCUCCGUGCUUCACUUGAAUGAGAGCCUCGCCUUCGAGCCUGUCGCCUCCCGCGACGGCCUCGUCGUGCUCCGCCGGCGCCCCCGCCCGCUCUUCAGGCAGUCCAUCGAGGAGGGGUGAGUCCAGGGCAGUCGGUCUUCANNNNNNNNNNNNNNNNNNNNNNNNNNNNNNNNNNNNNNNNNNNNNNNNNNNNNNNNNNNNNNNNNNNNNNNNNNNNNNNNNNNNNNNNNNNNNNNNNNNNNNNNNNNNNNNNNNNNNNNNNNNNNNNNNNNNNNNNNNNNNNNNNNNNNNNNNNNNNNNNNNNNNNNNNNNNNNNNNNNNNNNNNNNNNNNNNNNNNNNNNNNNNNNNNNNNNNNNNNNNNNNNNNNNNNNNNNNNNNNNNNNNNNNNNNNNNNNNNNNNNNNNNNNNNNNNNNNNNNNNNNNNNNNNNNNNNNNNNNNNNNNNNNNNNNNNNNNNNNNNNNNNNNNNNNGGCAGUGGCGCAAGGCGCGAGUGGCAGAGGGGGCGGGGUUCGGGCAUGCUCGGGUCGCGAACGGGGCGUUGUAGCGAGCGACGAUGGGGUGUGGCGGCGAGCUCGGUGGGGCGGGGCGGGGCGUCUCCGGGUCCUCGGCGCCGGCGCCCCUGGCCGUCCUCGACGACUUCGACCGUGUCAUGGCCAACGCAGUGGCCGCCGUCAAGCACGCCGCGCGCGUCAUGGUGCCGCGGCUGCAUCCUCUGCACGGGGAGCACCACGGGGGUGAUGGGCGGGGUCGUGACGCUCCCCUCCAGCCUCUCGAAGGCGACAGUGAGCGUGGUGCGGAUGGUGGCGGAGGAGCUGGCGCGCGACGGUGUGCGCGUCAACGCCAUCUCGCCGCACACCAUGCUACACCGCUGCUGGUCCGGUUGCUGGCGAGGGCGCCCCCGGGCUAGGCGCUGCCCGCAUGCGGGCGCGCGGCCGAGGAGGACGCCGUCGAGCUCGCCAAGAUGCACUGCGCGGACUCCUCCAGCACUGUUCCGCCCCGGGCGGACGCACUUCGUGCUCGAGAGAGAGGGACAGGGGAGAGGAGAGAUGAAAAGAGAGGAGAGAGGUUGUGGGAGGCCGAUGGUGGGCCAAGCGCAAGAAAAAGGCAUCGCCGACAUGCCCAGCUGCUCCCCGGGGGGCUGGGUUUGGGGUGGGACUGCCGGCAUCAAUUUUCUCUAAAUCCGGCGAAAACUGAGGCUUUGGAGCGCGAGUGGGAGGAUAUUUUACUGCUGACGCCGAAAAAGUGGCCGUGGGGGGCGUCUUGGAGGGCCGGCUGGAGAUGCUUUAAGAAAAACGCUUUGGGUGGUUUUACAACGAAGCCUCUAUUGCAGAGUGAAUAUCGUAACAAUCAGCUUGUUGAAAUUCAGGACACACACGUUUGGAAAGA